rnacentral:lncRNA from 1 species
GAUGGAUAAAAGAAGGUGUUGAUUUGGGCAUUUUCUAGGGUAAAUUGUGGACAGAUUUGAGUUUAAUUGCUGCCAUAUGUGGGGAUAUUUUCUGAUAUUUAUUGAAUUGUUGGCCGUUUGAUUUAAUUCCUCCUUGUGUAUACACCAGUGGUACUGGUUGCGGUGUUACUUUCCAAUUCUUAAAUUUUCUCGAAUUCUAAUCGGUAGUUGCUGGAAUUGCCUGUUUGCUGGGAUUCUUAAAAUUCUUAAGGUUUGGUCGCUUGAAGUGGGUAAUUGAAUGUCCAAUUGGUGACAUUUGUUGAGUUUCACUUGCUCCAAUUGGUUGAAUUCUUUGCUCUGUUGGGGUCCCUGUUGGUAUCACUUGAGUUCUGCUUUGUUAGUUUUUGUAUCGUGCCCCUUGAUCUUAUUUUGACUGAAUUGGAGACCCAGUGCAUAUUCAUUCAAUUUGCUGUGUUGUUAGGGUACUUUUCUAGCCUUUGGGGUGCCUCAGUUGUGCAUUUUAUUAAUUGGGUUGGCCAUGUGGUUCCCUUCUUUCCUGUGUAUACACCAGUGGUACUGGUUGUGCUAAUUUGCUUACAAUUUCUUAUUUCGAUAUGCUUGAGCAUCUGUGACUGAGUAUCCUUCGAUCUUGCUGCUUUGUUGGGAUCGUUUUUGGUGUCAAUUGAGUAUCAUUUGGUACUUUCUGUCUGGAGUCUAUUGAGCUGCCUUUGGUUGGGGUUUAUUGCAUUUAAUUGGUGCAUUGGACGGCUCCUGUGCCAUUUCUAUUGCUUAUUGAAGUAGGUUGCCUCUAUUUGCCUUGGGAGUUAUUUGCCCCAAUUGACUACCAUUUUGGUCUUUUCGAUUUCUGGUACUGCUUGGCGUUGCUUGGAAUUAUCAAUACUUUGGGUUGGUCAUUUGCUUUAAUUUUUCCCUAUGCCUGCACCAGUGGUACUAGUUGGGGUGUUUUGAAUACAUUCAUGGAUUCUAUAUGGUUGCCUGUCUGAUAGCCAACUAAUACCCUUGUGAUUUGGUUAUUGUCCGACUUUUGAACUACUGUUACUGGAGUACCAUUUUCUUGAGCCAUUUGCUAAUUUUAGUAGGUGGAAUUGGAUACUUGACUGCCCAAUUGGAGACAGUUUGCAUUUGAUUGUUGAGGGGACCAACCAGGGGCUAACGACUGGGUCCAACUCCGAAUGCAAGUUGAGAGACUGGAGACUCGAGUGACCCACAUUGACGUCGACUUGCAUAACAUGGUGCGGAAUUUGGCAGUACCCCGCCCAACCCACCCCUGUUUUGACAACUUCAGGGAAGUACCGUUGCCCUUCUCCUUCCUUUUGCUGUUAGUUUAUCACAUUGAGGGCAAUGUGUGAUUUAGGUGUGGGGGGGUCAGUUUUGGGUGCUAGUAUUUUUAAUUUUAGUUUCUAAAGGUUUUUCCUUUAUUUUUAGUUUGAUAUUUAUCUCCUUUUUCGUUUAUUUUCUUUUCUUUUUCUUUUUUUUUUCCUAGUGGUCAGUCUUCAUAUGAAUACCAAGUUUGAUGCUGGAUUGUUGUCUAAUUCUACUUUUGCCAAUUUUUUAAAAUAAAAAUGUAUCAGGUUAAUGUGGUUGGGUCCAAGAUAUCUCCCUGGUGAAUAUCGGAUUGCUUGACUCUCUUGAUUUUUUUGUUAACUCUUCUAGGCAUAGGGAAUGACUGUUGCCAUUUUAAUGUGAACUGGUCCAAUAUUGACUCCAGUGCUCCAUGUUUGGCAAUAAUGAGGCAAGCUGCUCCCAUGCGUGGUUAUUAGUGUUGUUGUUUUGCAUUUUUGCAUUGUUUGGCUGAGAAUAAACUUGACUGUAUUCCGCUAUUAGUUGCUACUGAGUAACCGGGAAUCUGCACGUAAAAGUGUCGAUUCUCGCGUCAAAAGGUGGUACUUUAUAUGAGUACGUGGUCGUAUAGCGGUAGGACCUGAGUAACCGGGCUCCUUCAUCUAAAAAUGUUGGAGUUCGCGUCCAAAAGGCUCCGGCGGCUAGAGACUAAGUCUUUUUGUGUCAAAUAUUAUUAUUAUAUAUAAAAAAAACAGGAAAAGAAAAAAAAAGAGAGAAUAUAUAAUAGGAGAGCUUGCCGGUUUAUGGACUUAAUAUGGGGACUUGUGUGAAUAUUUGGACCAUUAGCUGAUAAAUGUUGUGUGCCAUUCCUUUUUCUUAGAGUAGUUAAUUUGGAAAUUGAAGGAAUUUGUGGUUCAGGGGCUAACUGGGGGGAUGCUUCUUGGAUUUUAAUUACUAAUGCCCGAUAUAUGGUUCUCUCUUGAAUAUCUUGGUAAUUUGGUAGAUAGAGCAAUGACCAUUAUCAAAUUUUGGUGUCUGUAUACUUUCCCCAUGCUUGAGGGCAAGUAUGAUUCAGGUGUGGGGGGAAUUGAUAGGGUAUAAUUUGUUAGUAAAUUUAUUAUUGAUUUCCCCUUCUAUCCCUGACAAAUAUUGUGUUAAUUGCUGAUAUUUACUCAUAUUUGGUAUUUGGAAUCAAUUUCAGGAGUGAAGCAGAAAAUUACCAAAAAGGAGGGACUUGUAUGGGAAAAUGCAGACUUCUAAGGGCUUCAACCUUUGGGUCCUUGAAUUGGUGGGGACCACAAGCUAGUGCAAGGCAUUUAGUCAUUUGGGCUUUUCAAAGAAAGCAACGUAGAGAGACUUGGAACAACAAGUACUUUGGAGGGUUUGUCCACAUGUGCGGGGACCACGGAUAAGAAGCAUGAGUCAUUUGGACUCUAGGAAAAGAAACGUACAAGACUUUGAAUUUGGUGUGGGGACCACUAGAGAUAGCAUUAGACUUCCUUUUGGCUUCAAAAAGGGAGAAACGUACGAGAGGUUUAUCAAUCAAUAGUUUUAGUUUAGGCUUUUAGCAUAGUUUUAGUUUCCUUUUCUUAGCUCUUUCGCAUGGUUGUUCUCCAUUAAUGGAGAACUAACCUCUUAAUUCAAGUCAAGGGGACAACUGAAGAUUUGGUUCAACAAUUACUGUGAGAUCUAAUUUAUUUUAAUUGCUUCCUUAAUUUAUUGGUAUUUAUAUGUUCCCUACUUUUAAUUGCUAUAGCUCGUGUGAGUAAUUGAAUAGAUGCGCAAUAUUUAAUUAUUCACAUAGGCUAUUUUGCUAAAUAGGGAUAAUUGAAUCCGUAAUUGUUCGUUAUCUUUAUCUCAGUAGCAACUGGCGUAAUUGGGUUUAUGUUAGGGGAGCAUACGAUCUAACUUAAACAAACCCUCGUAGCGUGUUUGUUAGUUAGGAUUGGGCCUUUCUAAUUAUUAAUGCAAUCUAGGAAUUAAAUCCUACGGUCGUACCUAGGGUUGUUUUUGGGUUAGAGAAAUAGUUAACGGUCGUACCUUAACUAUCGAGAAAUUAAGGGAAGGUUGGUUGUUUAUCGCGUGCAUGACAACUAUAACUGGUCUAUUAAUAAAUGUGGAAUUAUGUGUGAAUCAAUGAUCAGUGCCUGAACCAUUUCUGAAGUGUACCCUUGGCUAGAGUUUUCCCUUAAUUAUUUCUCUUAAUCAAUUAUUUUCUGCAGUAAAUUUAUUUAGUUAGCAUUUAAUCCAAAACCCCCCAUACUUUGAACUCUAGAAGAAACAAAUUAUCCCCAGUCCCUGUGGAUUCCACCUUACUCACUGCUAUAUACAAAAUCUGUAUUUUUCUUGAGUAGGUAAUUAUUAUUGCACAGGUUCGGCACCUGUCAGUUAUAUAUAUAUAUAUAUGAGUUUGCCAAGAGUAUUUGAGUUUAAUCUACUCUUUGUAUUGGAGAAAUAUUAUUGUUCUUGAGUUACCUAAAUUAUAGCAUUCUUUAUCUGUAUAAUCACAUGUAAUUUAUUAUUAUUUAUGAUAAUUUAACCACAAAUAACUUUCUUUAAUUCAAUUUCACUGUUAGAGACUAUAGUUCAAGUAAAAGUUUCCAUUUUAAUUUAAUUUUCUAAAGUACACGGCUAUAGUUAUUAUCAAUAACAUAUAGAAGUGCUUUCCAACUUUAAAAUGGAAACUAGGAGAAAAGUGCCUCACAUAAUGUUAUUAUUGCAAUUAUUACCCUGUAAAAGUUCGAAUAGAAGUUUUCUCAAGUUCAUGGUGGAUACAAUUAGCAAUUGUAGUUUAGAGAAGAAAAGAAAAUUGAAGAUUUGCGUUUGUAUUAUAAUGUAGUCCUAAUUUUAGAUUUCAGAGGAUAUACUCUCCCGUCCCCUACUCCGUAUUUUUAACGGAGGGAAGGGAGAGGGGAAAUCCCCUCCCCUGAUCCCCACCUCAUUAGCCCCCAUGGGUACCUUGGCCAAUUGCCAUCUCUGGGCUCGAGGGUUGGGAGAAUGAAGGGUUUAGUUACAUUUACCUCCAUUGAGGUUUAACCGAAGUACCAAUCGCUCCUUAAGAUUUCACCAAAUAAUGAAAUGAUCAUUCAAACUAUUAAAACUAUAACAAACACCCCUUUCCCGUUAGUCAAUUAACGACUGAUUGUCAAUCUUGGUGAUUUCAGCAUAAGCUAUACAAUAAAAACCCUAAAAUACCCACUCUUAAAAGCCAUUUUCACCAUUCUUUUUUUACUUAAAAGCCACUCUUAAUAACGCCCCACUGCCACCUAUAGGUUUCCAAAAUUGAGAAAAUUGCACUACUAAAACCGCCUUCUUGCAUGGUACAUGAUUCUUGCAUCAGAAUUCACCAAAAUUGAUAGGAGAGCAGCCAUACAAAGUAAAACCAUGGCUAUUCCUCCUUUUCAUCUCACCCAAAUGACAGCCAUUUUGAUGAAACUUAUAACAAAAAUGAUCCUUUUAAUGAGGAAAAAAUAAACAUGGCAGCAUCAUCACAAGAAAAUUGAAACAUUAGGAAGUCGAGGAGCCACGACUCAUAAUCCUCAUAAGUCCCAACUUUUCAAAAAAUAAACAAAUGGUAAUCACAUAUCCGCUACACAAGGGGAUUCAGCCUAAGAUCCAACCUUCAUCAACCUAGAAAUAAAUUUCCAUGCUUGUCAACAACGUACUCCAAUCUUAUGUCUAAUUAAACUCAAACAAUGAAAAAAAAAGUAAAAAGUUCAAGAUUGGAAUGCUAGAGAAAAAAGGGGAAAAGAAGCUGAUGCUGUGGUGGUGCACUGCUAGCGGCACUUAGAGUUUGUUGGGGGACUUUGAUGGUUUCUCUCUUUCUUGGGAUCCUUCUUCUUCUUCUUUUUCUAUAUUUGGUGUGUUUUAUUCUUUUCUAUCCUUGUUUUCCUUCGAAUUAUUUUCUUCUUUUAUUUAUUUUAAUUCCUUUUUUGCCUUUUACUUUUCUAUGUCAUAUUUAAUGAAUUCACAAAGGAUAGUUUUGUCAUUUGGGAACCUCUAACAGCAGGAUAUUAGCGUAGAUACUAAUAAGGGGAUAGAUAUAAUUUGGCCAAAUCUCGAGGACUAAAGAACGGAAUUGAAAGACUGAAAGUGACAAAAAUGAUGCAACGAGAUCUACAAGGAUAAUCUCUGACAUUCAUGAGUCACCUAAUCAGCUAUAUCAAAAUGUAGAAACUGAAAAUCAUUUUGCCCCAAAUAGGGGUGUAAACGAGUCGAGUCGAGUCGAGAUUUGAUCUAAUCGAACCAAGUUUCAACUUAGUUUUACGAAACUCGAACUCAAACUCGAGCUCAAUGGACUCAAAAUGUCAAGUUCAAACUUAAAAAAUAAAAAUAAUUAUCUUAUUUUUAAAAAAUAAAUAAAAUAAUAAUUUUUCUUAAUAAAUAAUAAAAUAUUAGGGAUAUAUAUAUGUAAUUUUACUAUUAAAAUAAAAAAAAUUAUAAUCGAGCUCACGAGUCACUCGCGAGCUAACGAGCUUAAUAUUUUUGAGUUUAAAUUCGAAUUCGAGUUUGACUUGAUCAAUUUAAACUUGAUGUUGACCGAAUUCGAGUCGAAUUCGUACUUGAGUCGCUCGCGAUCAGCUCGCAAGCGGCUCAAUUCGUUUGCAACCCUAGCCCCAAGUUAUUAAAUAUAUAAAGUCCAUGUCUCCGCAAUUACGAGGAUAGGAAGGGGUCUACAUUAUCGACAUAUCACCUUUUGCAAACAUGGUGCAGUAUUUUUUUUUAUUUUUUUAGUGUAAUAGAGAGGAUUCAAACUCGAAAUCUCUGGUUUACAUUUCCUCCUUCGAACCAUCCAAUCCAUCCUUCCCCUCAUAACAUAGUAGUUUGAAAUAAUGUGAAAAGUGAAAAGUAAUAUUAUAUAUACAUAUUAAACAAAAUGUCUUCAAUAGCUUGAUAAAUACAAAAUAGGAUAGGUUAAAUAUACACCAUUAAUGCAUUAAUUACUCAUACUAUGUGUAUUGAUAACUUCUACCAUUAAUUUUAAAAGGGUCUAUAUAUACCUAUUCGCUAAGAUGUACUUCAAGUGUUAAAAUUUUGAGAAAGUAAGUUUAAUUAGGGAAAAUGUAUAAAUGUAAGAGAAGAUAGUAAUGGUUGGUGUGUACAUAUAUAUUAUAAAUUGAAAGAAAAUUCGGCAUGUUAACAAAUGCCUCCUGGACACCAACUAAAAAAAACCCAUUUUAAAAAUAGUGGAGUAGAACGAAUAAGAAUUUGUUAGAAAACUGUGAAACGCCAAACGGCACCAGUAGUCCGCUCCAAUUCGCAAUGACCCAGUUUUUGUGUCUCCUUCCCUACAGUGUAGGAGUAGGAGUUGGUAUAUCGAAAAUUGUUUACGUUUGAUGCAAACCAAAAAAAAAAAAAAAAAGAAAGCCAACUAUUGAUUUCCUUCAAUUUUGAUACACAAUUAAUUACACUUUGCUUUCUUAAAUCUAAACCCUGCUACUUUUUCGGGGGUGACAUUCCAACCAUAGAUAAAUAUAAAACAAGAGAACAAAUACCUUCCCUGUACAAUCAUGUUACAAGUAAACCAAAACCGUGCAAAUCGUUCUUCAAAUUUUAUAGCAUAUCAGUCCAAUUACAAUGCAAAAAAAAAAAAAUGGAAAUUUAGUCUUGAUAUAGGGUUAAUUUCAAUAUAUCACAUAACUCUUGAAACUUAUUUUCACAUAUCACUCUAAACUAGCAGUUGUAAUUUGUAAAUUGCGGCAGCAUAUAGUUUAAAAUCAAUUGAAAAAUUAAAAAUUGUCUUUAAUGAAAAGGAUUUAGCACGCCUAAAUCAAAUGCGCUUAACCUAAAUUGAGGUAUCUGGAUUGAAAAAUAUAACUACCAAAACGUCACUAAUUUGAGUAAUGUACCACAAAUUGAUAGUGAUACACUGAUAUUUUAGGGUGUAAACUUUGAAAUAGUGAUAGUUCCGGGUUGCAUGUUACAAUUAGCUCGAAAAUGUGGCAGAUCGUUUGGUUCCGCUUGUCACGGCUUGAUAAAGGCUACGCUUCUUAGUUCCUGCAAACCAUCUUCCAUCAACAUACCUUUUCUUGACAAGCCUUUUUUUUUUUUUUUUUUUCUUGAAGAAAUUUGACUUCCAAGAACAGAGAGAGAGAGAGAGAGAGAGAGCAGGAGACAAAAAAUGAAUCGAGCUUCUAUUGAUUCCGUCACUGAUCAACUCUCAAGGCUGUUGUGCCUGCCAAACUUGCAUUUGCACAUGAAGCAGCAAAUUCAGAGCCUUCAACUGGAGCUAAGGUUCGUGAAAAUGUUCUGCUGCUGCUUGAAAAACUGGAUGGCAGCUGCUGAUCAUGAGAACAUGCAUUUGGGAUCAGUACGAAACAGUACCGAAGGCACUGUGGAAGCAUCAGGAAAGGGGCUAUACAAUGCUGGUUAUCGUGCAAUAAUUGGAAAAGAUUUCAAAGAUUGGGAACUCCUGGCAUCUAAUAUGCUAAGAGAAGUUGAGAAAUGUAAGCCAACAAUCAGAGAAACUGCCGUUUCUUUAUUUGAUCUUUCAUCCCAAUUCAUAGCUUUCAGGGCUGUUGACGAGAUCCUGGAUUUCAUUGAUACCAUUUUAAUGAAUUUGAAGGAUCUUGUCAGCUUGAAAGAUGAAGUGAUUAUUGGUUCAGUGAAGGAGCAGAUCGAAGCACUCGAAGGUAAGCUGAGGUUUCUCAGAAACUUCGUUGACUUCGCAGCAAGAAGAUGUAGCAAGCAGGACAGAAUGGAGGAUUUCUUGACUACCCAUGUUCAAGCAUGGGCAAGAAACUCUGCUUGUUUGUCACUGCUAUGUUGGACAGAUAGCAUGAACAAAGACAAGGAACCCCAGAGGAAUGCUAUGCUUCCUCAGUUGCUACUGAAGAUCAUGCCUUGUAGUCAAGCAGUUGCAGAGAUGUAUCUUGAACUCCUGAAGUCAACGCCAUCUGACACUCUUUUAAUGGGUGAAAUUGUUUCUGGCUUUGUCGAUUCUCUCCUAGGAAAUGCAGGCAUAUCUUUAAAGGUUGAUCUUGCUAUCCUUCGAGAAGGGCUCCUGUUUGCGUUAACAUUUCUGGUGGAUCCCCCAAAAGAGUCGGCAAGAAAAACUGAGUUUGCUGAUAUGGUUGAGAGUUUGGUGAUAUCUGUCAUUUGCUCUCUUCAUGUUGCUCAAACUGAAGAUGGAACUACCAAGGCAAGAAAUGAUAAUCUGUCUGAUUUUCUGGAGAAGAUAGAGAAACUCAAGGCAGAGGUCUGGGAGCUUUUUAUCGCCAUGCCAAAUUCAUCGGAGUCUAAUUUUCCCAGGACUAAUGGAAUGGGAUUUAUUGAUUUCCUCAUGGGAAACUUGAAUGACAUGAUGCAGUACAAGGCCAACCAUAUUCCUUUUGCGGAGCAUAAAGUUAUGGCAGUUCUCGAGGAGCUGUCAUGCUUUAGGUCCUUUCUUCAGGAUGCAGAGAACGUGCAAAAUGACUAUCAGGAGGUGAAUGCUCUGCAGACACGGAUUAUCAAUCUGGCAUACCAGGUGGAAAAUGUAAUGAAUUCAUGUGCUAUUUCAGGUAUUCCUAUUUGGCAUCAGAUUAUCUGCUUCUCUGAUAUCCAGGAAGAAAUCAAGUUUUGCGGGACUGAGAUCAUGACCAUGAAGCAGAAAUACAAUAUUGGGAAGCAAAUUGCUGUGACAACUUCCAAGCUUGCCCAUUCAUCACGAGGUAAUAAUUCAAAAUUUGAUGAAGAUGUUGUGGGAUUCAAGGAUGAGGCGAAUCAGAUAAUUGAUUUGCUUACAAGUGGAUCGAAGAACCGAGAGAUUGUCUCAAUUGUUGGAAUGCCAGGUGUAGGUAAGACCACUCUAGCUAGGAAAAUUUAUAAUGAUCCUUCAACCACAUCUUACUUUCACGAACUUGCCUGGUGUUAUGUUUCGCAAGUAUAUACAAGCAGAGACCUAUUACUUGCCAUUUUAAAGUGUCUUAGUGUCAGUAUUGAUGAUGUUAAGCUCUCAAAGAUGAGCAAUGAAGAUCUGGAGGAACAGCUCAGGAGAUGCUUACUGAAACAAAGGUACCUCGUGGUAAUGGAUGACAUUUGGGAUAUUAAAGCUUGGAAUGUUGUAAAACAGUCACUUCCAGAUGAUGGAAAUAGAAGUAGAAUUAUUUUCACGACUCAAAAUCACCAUCUUAUAUCAGAUGAUGAAGGAAGUGGCAAAACUUAUCUGCUUUCUCCACUGAUUGAGGAGAAACCUUGGGAGUUUUUGCAAGAGAAGAUAUUUCACAAAGAUGCUUGCCCUCAAGAACUAUUGGAAAUUGGAAAGAGAAUUGUGGAACAUUGCGAAGGAUUACCCCUGGCAAUAACUGUUAUUGCAGGUCUUCUUGCAAAGGAAAAGAAGAAUGUAGGAUGGUGGAAGCAAGUAGAAGCAAGCUUAAGUUCUGACUCGACUACAAAGGGAUACAUGGGCGCUAUAGAACUAAGCUACAAGCAUUUAAUGGAUUAUCUAAAGCCUUGUUUCCUAUACUUUGGAGCAUUCCGGAAGGGUGAAGUAAUUGGUGCCAGAAAGUUGACCCUGUUAUGGAAUGCCGAAGGCUUUGUAAACAGAAACCAGAGGAGUUGCUUCGAGGUCGUGGCAAAGGAGUACUUGAAGGAGCUUAACGAUCGAAGUCUAGUUAUUGUUUCUGAAAGAAGCUUCAAUGGGGGGAUAAAAGCAUGUCGCCUCCAUGAUCUGCUACACAAAUUUUGCUCAAAAAAAGCAAAAGACGAAAAGUUUUUACAUGUGCUGGAACGGUCAGAGGAUUCUGAUCAUAUCCUUAAUCCUGUAAAGCAUGAUCAAUAUCGAUUAUGCAUUCAUGCGGAAUCCACAGCUUCUGGAAGUUUGAAACCCGCUUGUCAACGUGUGAGUUCUCUGCUCUUCUUUCGGAAAAGGGAUGGUUACUUUUAUGAUGAUGAUGAUAGCUAUGCUUCCAAUUUCUCCCCUGACUUCUUAGAAAGUUGUAAACUUAUUAAAGUUUUGGAUUUGAAGAGUGUCUACUUGCAUUCUGGCUUCCCGAAAGAAAUUGUAUCAAUGGUGCAUUUGAGAUAUGUAUCAAUUGGUGGUAGUUUUACAGAAGUUCCAGCUUCAAUAGCCAACCUCUGGAACCUGGAAACUUUUGUUGUGGCAAGUACAAAAACCAUUUAUUUGCCGGAUACAUUUUGGAGGAUGAAAAAUUUAAAGCACGUAGAUGUCAGUGAAAUGGCAAUCAUCUCUUUAGGGGAGUAUGAGGUUGAGGAUUCCUGUCAAAUGGACAAUGUGGAGACUUUUUCUUCACUUGCUUUCACUCAAGGAGGAAAUACGGAGAAGCUGUUGAGGAGGUUUAGGAGACUUCGGAAGCUGAAAUGUGAAAUUGUGGAAUCAAAGAAGUGCAGAAGGAAAGGAAUUCAGUUCCCAGCACUGGCCUCCUUGGAAGAUCUUGAGUCACUGAAAGUGUCUACCAAUGGUUCUCAUGACCAAGUGUUUUAUAGUUGGAUGCGGAUUCAGUUUCAGGCAUUCAACUUCCCCACAAAGCUGAAGAAACUAACCCUCUGUAAACUUGGUCUACCAUGGACUGCCAUAUCGACAAUUGGGGAGCUACUCCAUCUUGAGGUACUCAAGUUGCGGGAAGGAGCCUUUAGGGGACAAAGAUGGGAUGUGGGAGAUGAGGAAUUCUUAGAGCUUAAGUUCUUGGAAUUAUCAAACAUGGACGUUGUACUCUGGAAGGCCUCCUAUACACCGUUUCCUAAACUUGAACAACUUGUCAUUGAAGAUUGUUCUGAUCUUGAGGAGAUCCCAUUCAGUUUUUCAGAGAUUGAAGGCUUGAAGUUGAUUCAAUUGAGGAGGUGCAGCUAUGAUGUAGAAGAUUCCGCUCAGCAAAUUCUCCAGGAACAGAGGGAUUCAGGAAAUCCGGAAUUUGAUGUACUUAUCUUACAUUGAUUUCGAGAUGCAGAAUAUCUAUGCACUCUUAUUACCUGUAAGUAAAUUAAAGUUCAUAGUCUUUUCUUCUUUUACCUCUUUCUUUGGCCACUGCAUUCAUGUUUUCAUUUAGUUAAGAAAUGAGCAACACUAUCCCAUAUUAUUGAGGGCCAAGUAACUUUCAUCUUACUACUGCUUCAAAGAUGAAAAAAUUAGCAGUACAUGUAUAAUUUUGCUUGUUUCCCUUAUAAAUUAAUAGUUUGGAUUUAUUAACUCUUGAAAUCUAAUGAAGAUUGUAUAUGAUAUUAUGCAGAAUUUACUUGAACAAUUUUAAAAGCUAACACUCUAAAUAAAUUAACAAUUUCCUUGCAGAAUUAUCAUGAUGGAUCAAGGGGUGAUCAACGACCUGAAACCAUAAAAUUCUGUUCAAUUGAUUUGAGUCUGCACCUAUUUAACUAAGCCAAUUGAAAAGACUACUCACUGUGACAGCUUGUGGAAUUCAGUAACUACCCCCUUUGAAGUAACUAGAAGGCCAAACAGAACACCAUUGCUUGAGAUUUAUGUGUAAUUUCUCACUCUGUAUUUAUUUAUUAUAUGGUUACAGAUGUUUGAAGUCAAAAUCUCUGUUGAUCCAUCGAAUUUCAUGGUUGUUGGAUUUGGAUAUGCUGUCAUGGCUUUAUAUGCACUAAGUAAGAUGGUUAUCAAGAUUGUAUCAUAUUUGGACAAGAUUUCAAGCAUAUUGUUCACUUGUCAGAUGGUAAACUUCUAGUGUUCCGAACAUCUGUGUGGAUUACUGGUAAUGUUGUUCAGAUAUAAUCUAUUUGUAUACAUACCAUUCUGGGACAAUUGUAAUCUUACACUCUUGUACUACUAUGUAACAAAGAAAGAGGAACAGGAAGGAGUUUAUGUUUACAAUUCCAACAUAUCACAUAAUUGGUGGUACAAAGGCAAGAAGGGAAUUAAUCUUUCCUUUCAUGCUUUCUAGAGGGGAAAUAUGGUAUGUAUAAGUAGUAAAAAUCAUUGUAUGUCUGUUACUGAAAUAAAAUCUGUAUGAGAAGCUAUCAGCAUGCAGAUCAUGCAAGACUGCAUCUCACUUAAGCUGGAGGACAAUGAACAAUUGCGUGCCUUCCUUGAACCCUGAUUCCAAGCACAGUGAAAUAUCUGCAGUUUUCUUUAUAGUCCUUUUGAACAUUUCAUUGGAUCAUGAAUCUUGGACCUAGGAUCCGUCACCUCCAUGCUUUCAAUACUGAAACAACCAUUUAUCUUCACCAGCGAAGCCAUCUCCUUUGGAGAUGCAGAAUAAAUUGGUAAGUUGAAGGAAUCGAUUUGAGCUUCAUUGAGGAUUCCCUGUAAACCGAGAAAUUAAAGGUAUCAAUCAAUAAUAUCACAUCAAGUAUAUCCACUUAUUUGAUUAAAAUUUGGAAAUUGUAAGGCUCAUGUCCAGUGGAAUCUCUUAGCAAUUUACUGCAGCAACUGGCAAAGUGGUCCGCGGAUUAUUUGUAUUUGAGGUUCUCCCUGGUUCUCAUUCAGUUUCAUCAUUAAUCUAGUACGUAAAGCAGAUAGCUCUACUUCCAUUCCUCUACCAAGCAUCCCCUCAGAAUUAGGAGCUUAAGCACAUCCACAUCUAGAUUUUUGAAUGACUAGUUUGUCUCACCUCAUUAGCCCUAUCCACAAGACUGGAUCCAAGGAAGUUGAACAGAAUGCCAGCAGGUAGCUCGGAAGGGUGCACCUCGUCAGGGAUACCUGGUAUGAUAAGUACAAUCAUGCCUUCUGGUACGAUCUCUUUAGCUCUUGCAUUUAGGAAAAUCCCCAUAUCCUUUUCAAAUUGAGCUGCAUAAGCAUUGACUACUUCAUCCGAGGCACCUGCACAGUGUAUUUUCCCCUUAUUCCAAGAAGAAUUUUGGUCAAGCAACUUUUCUGGCACCUUAGAGAGCCAGUGCAGUGAAUAAGACGAAUGUGCAAAAUGGAUGGAAGAUGAUGGAAACAGCUGAUCAUAGAAGGUGCCUGGCACUCCUGCUGAAAAGUAUUGCCUUUCAAGUGGGAGAGAAGUGAAAAGGGUGUUGAAAUCAUUGGAUGCAUGAUCAUUGAAGAACACCUGAAAUUCAAGCUUAUGCGAACCAUCAUAUUCAGAUUUGUGCUUGUUUUCUAUGGCAUCUAUUAUGUUUUGCACAGCAAAGAAAGUAUUUGGCCCAACUGAGCAUCCCAAGUCUGCGAUACAGAGUCUAUUAGAGGCAGAACUCAGGCUCUUGGUGUCAAGCUUCUCAACAAUUGCCUCUUUGAUCAUUUCUCUGGCAACAUUUGACGUAUCCCUCUGUAAACUUUGAACACACGUCAAACAGCUUGCUGUUUCACGUCAAACAUUUGUCCACAGGCAAGACUCUAAAGCUAAAACUUGAAUUCGUUCCUGUUACAGUAAUACCAUCAUUGUGGGAGAAUUUGAAGUGAUUUGGGGAUGCUGAAUCUCCAACAUCUCCAACGUGUUGAUAUGUUAAAGGACAUUAGGUUGAAGUUUUUAUUGGAGGUUGGAGAUAAGGUUUUGCAUUCCCUCAAUAUGAUUUUGAUGAACAGGUUGAUUAUGUCUAAUCCCACCCAUUCUAUAUGAUUCUGGUUGAAGAAAAUAGAUGUAUUCAUGUAGUAAGAUGACUUUUUGAGUUUAACGACAAAAGUGUUUCUUUAAAAUGUACUAAUAACUUGUGAUGAGAAUUGAAUGUCUUCUCAAGUAUACAAAAAUGAGAAACAACAUAUUCAUAUGGCAUAGGAUCAAAUUCUCAAUCAACAAUUGGUUAAGUGUGUUAUACUUCUAUCUGGCUCGCUCUCAGUUUCUUAACAAUUUGCUAAUUUUAGGAUGUUGACGUGGUCUAGCAGUGAUUUAGUUCUGCUCUUAACUUUGUCUUAGAAAAAAAAAAUCUCAGAUGAGCAUUUUAAUGAGCUUUGGUUAAUUAGUAGUAUUAACCUCUAAAAUCUCUAACAGAAUAAAACGUUGCUUCAUGAGCAACUUGUUUCCAAAAAUCACGCAUCUUUGAAGAUAUCAAAAGAAACUUUAGAAUAUCAUCAUUAGUAGGACUCAACAAGGUAACCACUUCACUAGCCUGAGUUUCACAUCUCAUUUGCAGGAUUCCCCAAAAUCUCAAAGAGAGAGCAAAAAAUGGAUUGCACUUGUGUUGAUUCUGCCAUUGACCAGCUAUCAAGGCUACUGAAAAGACCAUCCUUGACUUUGCUUAUGAGGCAGGAAAUCCGUACCCUUUUACUGGAUUUAAGAUUUCUGAAAAUGUUCUUCAGUUGCUUGGCAAAGUGCAAGGCUGCUGAGGAGGACACCACUUUGCAUCAUUUGAGAUCAUCUCUCCUGACGAAUGCUGAAGCUAUGAUGGAGGAAACAGGACAGGACCUCUAUGAUGCUGGUUAUUUUGCAUCCAUUGGAAUAGAUGUGAAAUAUUGGAACCUUGUUGCAGCUAAGUUGCAAGAAAAAGUUGAACAUCUCAAGCCAGAAAUCAGGAAUACUUGUAUUCUCUUGGUAGAUUGCUCUUUAGAGCUCAAGACUUCUAACAGUGGUGGUAUCCUGGAAUUUAUGGAUUCUAUCCUGAUGAAUCUGGAGGAUCUUGUCAACUCUCGUGAUGGUAUUUUUGUUCCUGUGAAAGUGCAAACAGAAGCCCUUCAAGAGAAGCUAAGGUUCUCCAGAAACUUUCUUGACUUCACGAAAAAAUGGUGUUGUAGGCAGGAGCAGGACAAACUGGAAGCUUUCUCGACUGUUCUUCGAGAUUGGGCUAAAAAUACAGCGUGUUUGUCUAUUCUGUACUGGAUAGAUGGUGUAGAUGAAAACAUGGGAGCUUAAAUCAAUACUAUGCUUCAUAAAAUGCUACAAAAGAUCAUGCCUUACAGCCCCAAGGUUUUGGACAUAUAUCUUGAACUCCUGAAAGCUUGUAAGUCAUCAAAAGCUGAUAAAAGUGUGAUGGGUGAAAUAGUUACAAGCUUUAUCGAUGUUCUUCUAGAAAAUGCAGUGGUUGCUGUAAAGGAUCAUAUUGAAGAUCUACAGGAUGGGCUAGUUCUCUUGAUAACAUUUAUCAUGGACCCGCCAGAGGAGUUUGGAAGAAAAUCGAGAACUGUAAUCUUCACCCAGAUUUAUGCACUCAUCAGAGAGAUGACAUUUUUCAUUUGCUCACUUUGCAGUGAUAAAAUGAAUGAUGACACUUCCAGGGAAAGAAAUACUUUGCUUCCUGAUUUACUCAAAAAGAUUAAGGAAGUUGAGGCAGAGGUCAGAGAGCCUAAUGGCAAGAAGCCUAGUUCAUGGCAUUUUGAUUUCCCUGUGACGGAUGCAAUUGGAUUCAUUGAUUUCCUCUUGGGGAAUCUGAAUAAAAGUUUGAAAUACAUUGCCAACUUCAUUCCUUUUGCAAAGCAUAAAAUUGUGACUAUUCGUCAUGUUCCUUAGGCCUUUCCUCGAGGAUAUUAUGGAGCUGCAAACUGAGUCUGUUGAACUAAAAGAUCUAUGGACAUGAAUUAUCAAUGUGGCAUACCUGGCAGAACAUGUCAUCAACUCAUGCGCAACUACUGAAACUCCUAUUUGGAGCAAUAUUUGGAGCAAUAUAAUAUGCCUUUCUGAUGUCACAGAUGAAAUUAAGCAUAUCCAAGCCGAUGUCAUGAAGAUAAAACAGAACCAGAUAUCCAGCACAAGAAAUCCUAGUAUUCAGAAGAGUUACAGUUUCGGUCGACCACGAGCUAGUAUUUCAAGUACUGAUGAAGUUGUAGGUUUGGUGGAAGAUGCAAAAGCUGUACUAGACAAACUUACAAGAGGAUCAAUGAAGCUGAACAUUGUUUCUAUUGCUGGCAUGCCGGGUGUAGGUAAGACGACUCUGGCAAUGAAAGUCUAUAAUGAUCCUUCAGUUCAAUGUUACUUUAUUAAACGUGCUUGGUGUUAUGUAUCACAAGUAUACAGAAGAAGAGAUCUGUUAUUUGAUAUUUUGAGGAGCGUUAUUGGUAUUGAUCAGGUUGAAAUCUCUAAAAAGGAUGAUGAUGAAAUAGCUAAUCAACUCCGACAAAGUUUAAAAGGACAAAAGUACAUAAUUGUUAUGGAUGAUAUCUGGAACCUUGGGGCUUGGGAUGCUGUAAAAUAUUCACUUCCAGAUGAUAGCAACGGAAGUAGAAUUUUGUUCACAAGUCGGAAUCACAAGUUGGCUGAAAUGUCUGGACUUCCGUUCCAUGUUCAUCCCCUUAAUGAACUUUCUAAUGAUAAAAGUUGGGAUCUUUUACAAAAGAAGGUGUUUCACAGUGAUGGCUGCCCUUCAAAAUUCUCAAACAUUGGGGAAAAAAUGGCAAGAAAUUGCAAAGGACUACCUCUGGCAAUUGCUGUUGUUGCAGGUCUCCUUGAAAUAAAAAAGAAUGAUAUACAUUGGUGGAAGCAAAUUGAGAAAAAUUCAAAUUCUCGCAUUAGUACUGAAGGCUGUAUGGCCAUUCUGGAACUCAGCUACAAUUAUCUACCGGAUACAUUAAAAGCUUGCUUUCUUUAUUUUGCAGCAUAUAGGCAAGGUGAAGUAAUUGCUGUGCGGAAGCUGAUGCUAUUAUGGAUUGCUGAAGGACUUCUGCAACCUGAGAAGAGGAGCUUAGAAGCAGUGGCAAAGGAGUCUUUUUUGGAGCUAAUCGAUAGAAGCCUAGUGAUUGCUACUAGCAGAAGUUCCAAAGGUGGGAUAAAAGCUUGUCGUGUUCAUGAUCUAUUGCACUAUUUCUGCAGGGAAAAAGCUAAAGAAGAAAGUUUUUUACAUGUUGUGGAAAGGACCGAGGUAUCUCAAUGUUUCUCAAGUCCCAUAAGGUUUGACCAAUACAGAUUGUGCUUGUAUUCUGAAUGGGAAACUUUGAUCAAAUCAAAGCCUUCUAAUCCAAAUGUCUCCUCUCUAAUGCUAUUUGCUGAUACUAAAGAAUCAACCCAUAAUUCUGUUGCCUCCCAAAUUUUUCAGAGUUUUAAACUUCUUAAAGUACUGAAUUUGGAGAGCAUCAAUUUGGAUUGCCCUUUUCCUGAGGAAAUAGUAUUAAUAGUACAUUUGAGAUACCUAGCAAUUCGGGGUAAUAUUAUGACUGUUCCAUCAUGUAUAUCCAACCUCUGGAACCUAGAAACCUUUGUUCUUCAAGGUUCAUAUGAUUUUGUUCAACUACCGGAUACCAUAUGCAAAAUGAAAAGUUUAAAACAUGUGUUUGUCAGUGAAAGGGCUGUUGUCUCUCUUGGUGAUAUGGAGCUUGAGGAAUCCUCUCAAUUAAAUAAUGUGGAGACAUUUUCUUCCUUGUCUGUUGAUCAACGAGCAGAUUCAUGGAUGCUAUUGAGAAGGUUCCCUAAACUUCGGAAACUGAGAUGUGUAUUCACAGAAUCAGAGAACUAUACUGGGAAGGGUAUUCAAUUUCCCCUAUUGGCUUUGUUAAAAGAUCUGGAAUCACUAAAAAUGUCUACUUAUGGCUCUGGGCAACUGUUCUAUAGCUGGAUGCGUGUACAGUUUCAGGGAUUUAACUUGCCCUCAACUCUUAAGAAACUCACCUUGCAUAAGUUUGGCCUACCGUGGAGAGCAGUAUCAGAAUUGGGAAAGCUUCCCUGUCUUGAGGUUUUGAAAUUAAGAGAACAAGCCUUUCCAGGACAAAGGUGGGAAGUGGACGAUGAGCAGUUCUUGAACCUGAAAUUCUUAGAAUUAUCCAGUUCAGAAAUUGAAGAAUGGAAUGUCUCCGCUGAAUCAUUUACCUGCCUUCAGCAGCUUGUCGUAGGAGAUUUUUCCAGACUUAAGGAGAUCCCUUCAAUUUUUGGCCAAAUUUCUACCUUGACAAUCAUUCGCUUACAUGGCUGCAGCAACCAAGUCGAGUUCUGCCUUGCAAAUCCUCAAAGAUCAACAGGAUAUGGGAAACGAGGAACUUGAAGUACUAACCACAUACUCCACAUACUGAUGGAAGUUCUUGGACGUAAGUUUACAGCACUUGUAUACUUUUCUUCUAAUCAGUCAUGAUAAUAGCUUCUACCACUGAAAAAAGAUCAUAUGGUUUCUUUGAUUAAAUUGAAUUUGAGUUCUCACUUUUACUUUCCCUGAGGGGACCUGAAGCAGGAUAUCAUUUACCAUCACAUCAUAGGAUUGUUGUUACUAUAUAGUUUCAGAUGAUGGAUUUUUCACUAGAAUAUUGGCUAAUAAAAGAUUUCAUUUCGGUAUAGUUCUUCUUCGCUUAUUCACUUGCUAGUAAAUGUAGAUCCCUGUUCAUUCCUUCUCAUGCUCAAAUAUUCAUAGCUUCUAGUUUCACUGAUAUGAAUAAAGUUGGGUUUUUGCUCUAAGGACCUAAUUCAUACAUUUCAUUUUACUUCCUCAGUCUAGGAUGAUGAAUACUUCUGUACCUGAGAGAAGCUUUAAGUUAUGAACGUUAUUUAGCAUUGAUAACCGCGACAGUGUGAAACCAUCCACGAAAGCAAGUCGGAAUGGUCUUUUGUUAUGAGCAUGAGGAUUCUGGAAGUGCAAUAAUUGGCAAAACUGUUUUUCUUUUGCUAGUUCUGACCAGCUUAUUAUCAUCUCAUUAAUUUUAUUGCCGACUCUAAGAUAAGAAAUUCAACAUCAGCUCCCAACACAUGAUCGAUGAUUGCAUCUAAAAUGACUGAUCAAUUAGAUAAACUCUGGUUAACAUUUCUUUUAAAGAGAGAAGAAUUCUUAACAUUCCCCUGCAUUCUUCACUAUCAGUCUGCAAGAGCUCUCUGAAUUGAUGUGGUAUCCCGGAAAUUGAUACUUAAUCAGUGUUACACUCAACUCGUUUUCUGGUUUGAAAUGUUCUUUUCAGUGCAUAGGCACCACAAUCAAUAUUAUCUGAAACUGACAGUGAUUUAUAGCUUUAUUGUUUCACUUAGCUUUUCAUUUUGUUCCAAAGAAAGUCUUUCCUGAAGGUCUUGUCUUCUUUGACGACUUCCAUGCUACAACAUAUAUUGGUGCAGAGAAGCAGGAAUGUUUUAUAUUUGGUUCUCAUAACUUCCUGCAUCUUUAUACUAAAUAAAAUCUAUAUGGGAAAAUUUUCAAACUCUCUGCAGCAGUUCUUUUUUUUGUUUUUUUAAUCCUUUUCCCACCUUUUCCCUUGAGAAACUAAUCUCUUUAUGAAUCAAUCUUCAAUUGCAAAAGCAAUUUCUAGCAUCAAAGAUUGUCUAAACUUUGUUACAAUAAAUGGUAGAAUCAAGUAAAAUCUUGUCUAUAUCAUUGGUGCAUUAAAAAAAAAAGAUUAGGAUGAUUAAAAGCAUUAAAUGACAAAAGAUUGCAUACAUUAAGUUCUAUUACUUCUUUAACUGAUAAAGACAAUCAUACACACACACACACACACACACACACACACAAAUUUCUUCAUCACUUCAAACAUUUGCCUUGAAGCAAUUCAGAUACAUUUACAAGUAGUGUAAAAUCCAGUAAACCCUUGUGGUCUGUGCAAAGGUUUAGAAAACAUCCUAGAUUUUUAAAAAAAUAAUAAUAAUAAUAAGUCCACAUAAGCCCAUUUGGCUAUGAAUUGAUAUGUACUUUGGAUGGAAACCAUCUAAAUUGUAGAAUUUGAGCUACAUUCGCUUCAAAGCAAGUAUAAAUGAUAAAAAUUAGUUAUCAUUGUUCCUGUUAAAAUGCCAAAUUAACAAAGUUUAGUUCAUUUUUCUCCUUGCUCAAUCCAAAAUUUUAUUUUCGAAGAAAAGUUUAUGACUUCCCCUUGUAUGAAAAUGACAAGCCUUUUUUUAAGUUUUUUUUUUUUUUUUUUUGGGUUUCAUGUUGGUAGAUUUUGAUAUUUAAGACAAAGGUUAAUCUUUUCUGCCUUAUCGAAUCUGCAUAAAUGGUUUUGACUUCUCAAAUAUCUUUUUCACUGUUAUGCCAGCUAAACAUUAUACUGCCUUCAAGCUGGUGAGCUCCCAUCUAAGCGAACUCGUAGCUGUUAUGCUGCUGGUCUUCCAUCAAAGUGAACUCCCAUAUGCCCGUGGUCGACGAGUUCGACGAACUUUCAACUUUUAAGCUCAAACUCGACUUGUGUAAAAUAUAAGGUGCUGGAGAUCGAGAUCGAGGUCAAGCUCGCUCAAAAAGCAAAUUGAGAUUGAGAUCAAGCUUGAGCUCAAGUGGUAAGAUGUGUUAAUUAUUUUAAGAAUAUAGGUUUCUAGGUAAUUUAAUAAUUAUAAAAAUAAAAAAUAAAAAAUAAAAAUAUAAGAAUAUAUAAAUAUGAAGCUCGAAAAGCUCAAUGAGCUUUUGAACAGAAUAUGUAAAUGCUCAAAUUCGACUCGAUUAGAUCGAGCUUGAGUUGAACUUUGACUGAGCUCCUGCUGAGCAACUCGACUGGACCCCCACCGCCAUGCUUAACUAUAUAAAAGCUUGGAGAUCAUUAUUGGUUUUGACCAACAUUGACAGAAAAAGGAUUUGUUAUCUCUAGGAAGUAAUUGGCAACACAAUGAUGUUAGGAUGAAGUUUAAAGCUUUAAGGUCAAGAAAGUUUUGUAUUGUUGCUUUUGUUUCAAUUAAUAGUUGCUAGCUACUCUCUAUUCACAAAAUCUCGCCGGGGUAUGAUACAGAUAUCAUACAAGUAAAUCCUUACACUAAGUAUUUCUGUAUCAUUACUGUUCUAGCUUGACACAAGAAGAAGAUCUUCAUUGAGUGGACUUCUACUAUGAUAUAUGAAAGUUUCGCAAUGAUUUUUCAAAGAUUUAGCAUUUAAUGCUCUAAUGACUUAUUUGUCCAUUAUAGUAAGCAUUAUGUUAAGGUACAUUAGGUAGAUUAUGCUAAGGUCCAGUACAUCAUCUUUAUAAUUAAGAGUAUAUUAGGUAGAUCUAAAAAGUAAGAAACACCAAAAUAAUAAUUCAUCCAACACACUUUUUUAUGAGUAUAGAUAGCUAUGGAUAAGAAAUUCCUCAGCUUAUUAUGAGAGUACAUAACAUGGACAAGGAACUAACCAGAAACUUGUCCCAAGCUUCAGAAGUGAAGAUAUAAAUCUUGUCCAAUGAAAAAUUGAUACAACUUCCUCGUACUUCAUGCUAUCUAAUCCUUCCAUCUCCCAAGUUUAGGAAAAGUCAGUUUUAUCUUUAAGCAUCUCAUAUCUUACUAAGUCUGUUGAACUCGAUUAUCAGAUGGUGUACAGUUUGCAUAAGUUUAUGAAGCUAGAUCCAACCCAACAACUUUGUAGUGUACGUUUCUUCAAUUAUUCAAGUGAAUACUUGACCAUGUGAUCACUUAAAAUAAAAACAUUUUGAGAGAAGGUUGUCUUUGGCCUGCUUUGAUCUACAUCCUUUCAGCAUGAAAUAUGUGCAGAAUUUACUACCGCUAGACAUGAAACUUUUUCCAUAUUGUUCUGAGAAUGAAGCCUAUGAUCAAAAGUUGGUAUGUUUCUGCUCAGUUGGUACAACAAAGGCUAAUCACUGGAUAUCUUGAACUGAUCUUCCAAUUAAAUUGCAGCUUUAUCAUUUCUUUACUUUUUUUUCCAGGUCCUUGAGGGAUAAAUAUUUGGAGCUGAAGGUCAAGCUUUCUUCAUAUAUAUGCCCUGGUCUCAAUUAUGAAGGUCUACUCAAUACUGUUGGUUUUCCAGAUCCUGACAUGGUUUUGCAUUUAUCAAGAACACUACUUCUAUUGUUCUAAGAUAGUGUCUCAUCUAAACAAGAGCUCAAGCUUCAUGUAGCAUUGACGAUUCCUAACCAAAUUGGUUAUAGUGAUGUUGCAAGCUAACCUUGUUCAGUGACUGAAUUAACUCUUGUAUCUAUAUUCUGUUGUAGCUCUGUACAAUGAAGAAAUACAUCCAUUACCUUUCAAUGGAUAUUCUGAGCUGCGCCGGGGGGUGUCAGUAGUUUCUAUUUACGUUUGUUAUCAUUGCACCAACUGUUUUUUCUUUUUCUUUUUCUUUUCGCCCCUUAUUUGUUAAACUUCUUUCAAAAGUUCAUAGGUAUACAAAUGUAAUUAUGCAAGUCCCAAAGAGCAGAGCAAAGGAAUCUGAACCUGAAGCAGAGUAAUUAAUUUUUGCCAGAGAUCACAUCCACAGUUAAGGGUUGACACUUGACAGUAAAUGCACAAACACUUUAUCCAAUAAAAUUGUAACAGUACAAACAAUACAGUCGUAGAAAACGAAUUAUGCAUCAUCAGUUUUUAGCGGAUAGAGAAGAGGCACUACUGGAAAACAAGACAGGCCAGAUUGUGGAAAAGCUGAUCUGCGUGAACUUCAACAACAGCUCGCCAGAUGAAAUGUUGGAGCAGUGAGAAGUUAAUGGUAUAAGCUCAGGUAAGAAAUACAUUAAUUGGAUACAAAUCUUGCAAUCCACAUUCCUUAUUCAGAUUUUCUUCAGCUAAAAAUCCAUCCUUAACUUCGAUAAAGCAAUAAGAAGGAUAUUACCGCAAACUAUAGACAUAAUUACACUACUUAAAACAAUCUGUGUUUGGAUCUAUUCAGAUUCGAGUAGCUGUUGCCACCAUCCAUUAACCGUAUUAAUCUUACAUGCAAAAUGAAAUGAACAAACAAAUUUUCAAGUUAAUACAUAGCCCAUGCACAGACGCAAGUACAUCGGUACAUACCUGUUUGACGCAUUUGGAAAAUAUUUCGGUUAGAAUGAUAAUCAGAUAGUUCGGAACAGGUGAUGCAGGUUGAUAAAAUGGUGAACAAGUAUAGAGUGCGUAUAUUUAUAGGUGUACUAGUAUAAUUUUGCAUCCUUAACAUAUUGGGAUUAAGAUUCUUUAUCCUAAGUUCUAUCUGAGGCAAUUUAGUUUAUUGAGAAAGUCCUCAUGGGCAAGUGUUCGAUUGUUGGUUGCGCAUUCAGUUUAAGGGAUUUACCUUUCCCUCCUGGCUUAGGAAACUAACCCUGUAUAAGUUGGGUCUACCAUGGAGGGCAAUGUCAACAAUUAGGAAGCUGCCAUAUCUUGAGGUACUUAAAUUGCGACAGCAUGCCUUUUGGGGGGAAGAUAUGGGAUAUGGAAGAUGAAGAAUACAGAAAGCUCAAAUUCUUAGAAAUGUCAAAACUUGGACAUCAUACACUGGAAGGCGAGCUCAAAUCCCCUUCCCAGCCUUGAGCGACUUGUAGUGGGAGAGCCUCUUGAACUUGUGGAGAUCCCUUGUUUUUUUUUUGCAGAAAUUCAAAAUCUAGAGGAAAUUCUGUUAAGGAGGUACAACAACGAAUUGCUGCAUUCAGCUGAGACAAUUGUCAAUGAGCAGAAGAGUGAAGGGAACGAGAAAAUUCGUUUACUCAAGUUCGGUUAACAGAAGUUUGCAGAUGGAGAAUGAGUAUCUCUUUGCAUUCACAUGUAAGCAGAAUCAAGACCAUCUUCUUUCUUCUUAUGAAUUAUAUCCAUAAGCUACAUGUUUAAUUUUCACUGGAAGUCUGGAAGCUCAACAUCGUCUUCCAACUCUCCUUUCUUGUAUAAAGAACAAGCUUGAUAUAGAUACUCCCUAAUAAUAAUUAAACUUCUGUCAGGCUUCUUGUAACGUGAAGAGAUGUAUUUAUAGUGGACUGCUUUUGGAUUAUGACUCAUCUGGUUGAGAGCAAAUAAUUUUGCACUGGCCAUUGUUUUUGUCUAAAAUCGUUUGGCAGCACAAUGCAGUUGUGAUUUCAGUUUGCAUUUUUGUUCUGGCCUUGAUAUACUUCCUUGGCUUCUUGCUUUUUCCAGUUAGAAGCUUGAAUGUCAAGACUCAGAUAAAUUCUGUUCUGAAAACACUAAAGUUUCAGCAGGGAUCAAUGGCUGAAUUGCAUUUUUCUAGAUUUUUUUUUUCUUUUGUAGAAAUUUGAUAUAUUUGAGGUAAACAGGUGAUUGGAAAAUGUGUUCACGGAAAACAUAGGAAUUUUGCUUUGGAAAAUUGCUUUCCAAACAAAGCCAAUGUUCAACUCACAAUCAUUCGCAUUAGCAACUGUAAACUUAUUGUACUUGUUAAAAGAACAAAUCUACAUAAUUCUAACUUCUUUCAUGUAUACCAGUUGUCUCAACCACAAAUUGAUGGCACCAACUCUGCCUUGCACUAGCCAAAUCGGUGAAAAACAUACACCACAAUUCACGCUAUCAAUAGGAGGAUUAAAAAACUAAAUUAAAAAACAUUAACCAGGAGAAACAAAUUAAUUCAAUUGAGAAUUCAAGAUUUCUCACUAAGCCAAUCUGUCACUACUAAAUUAACACAGUGUCAAAUAUUUAACCUCAACAAUCAAUUUCCCUUUACCAGAGAAUCCUUGUAGGAUUAAUUAAAAUUAACAACAAUGUAAGACGUAAAAUUUCAAUAUCAAUCUAUUCUCCAAAAAGAAUGAAUGUACUUGACUAACCAUAGUUAUGAUCACUCCCACUGAGUAGUGAAAAAGCAUAGAAAUUUCACUUGAACUCAAAAGUCGGUGGCAAAGGAGCAUCAAAGCUCUCCAAAAUCUCCGUCUUGGCUCCACUCGUUUCUUCCUCUUUCUUUCCACCACCACCAAACCACCCUCCAAACCAGGACGCUGACCCGGAAGCACCGGCUGUCUCCGGCAGGUCCUGAUUACCCUGAUGACCCAUGCCAAUAGGCACGCUACUACGAUCAACAUAUAUAAUUUGUUGCUGUUGAGCUGCAACGAAUCGAUUUACAGCGAUCUGAAGGCCUUCUAUGAGGGCCAAUAAACCUCCACCAAUUAAAGCAGCCCGAGAAGCGGAGGCAAAGCCCUGGCGCAUUUGUAGGAAUCCCCCGGUGAAGGCCCCGGCCAUGAUGGAGUUCCACGGAUCCUCCUUUUGGCGGAGGUAGACGAGGGAGCAGUCGGAGAGGGAAAAUAAGGCACCCCAAACGGCGAAGCCGCCGGCAGUGGCUGGCGUUUUCAUGCGGGCGGUUUGGUAGGCGCCCAGGAGACGAGAUCCUCUUGGGGAAUUCUUUAGGCCUUUGAGAAAGUAAAACGCUCCGCCCCCUACGGCACCCAUGCCAAAAGCGCCGCCGAUGUCAUCUAGUAUACGAUCAGGACAGGGGUCCCGUUCCAUGGUGGUUAACGGAGAAGGAGGAGAGCGGGGCCGGUGGAGAGUUUUGAGAGGGUUUUUGAGCGGGGAAAAUUGCACGUGUUAUUAGCAAAUUAAAGUGUAAAUAAUAACAUGACACUUGGCGCAACACUAUUGGUGGCAUUGAGUUGGCAUAGAAAAUAUGUCACGAGAAAAUAAGUUAGCCAAUUCAUACCAAUCGAUUAAUGAAUAAAUUUUAAUAUGCAAUUGAUUAUCAUGUAAACAAUUCCAAUUUCUUACCAAUGCCAAUUAAGUUAUCCAUUUCAAACAUACUGAUUAAUGAAUGAAUUUCGAUGUACAAUUGAUUAUCAUGUCAAUAAAUUUCAAAAUUUUUUUUACCAAUGUAGUAAUGUUUUGAAUAUCUAACAUUUAAAAUUAGAAAGGAAUAAUUGCAGUUUUGAAUAAUUCUUAAUUUUUUAAAAUGGAGUACAAGUCAUUUUCAAUUGGCCCUUAAUUUGGUAACUGCGAUCGGAUUAGACUAGAAGACGAUGCCAAACCUGUUAGGCAGGCUCAAAGAAGGCUCAAUCCCCUCAUGAUGGAAGUUGUAAAGAAAGAGAUUCUAAAAUUGCUAGAUGUGGGGAUCAUCUUUGCAAUAUCUGAUAGCCCUUGGGUGAGUCCGGUCCAGGUAGUCCCAAAGAAGGCAGGAGUAACGGUAGAAGCCAACCAAACGGGUGACCUCGUGCCAGUACGCAAACCCACGGGAUGGAGGCAGUGUAUAGACUACCGUAGGCUAAACGCCGUCACCAAAAAGGACCAUUUCCCUCUCCCUUUCAUUGAUCAGAUGGUUGAACGUUUAGCUGGUAGGGCUUAUUAUUGUUUUUUGGAUGGAUUUUCAGGAUACUUUCAGAUAGCAAUUGCCCCGGAGGAUCAAGAGAAGACAACCUUCACGUGCCCAUUCGGGACCUUUGCCUACAGACGAAUGCCAUUUGGGUUGUGCAAUGCACCUGCGACUUUCCAAAGAUGUAUGGUAAGCAUCUUUUCUGAGUAUGUUGAGAAAAUAAUAGAAGUUUUCAUGGAUGAUUUCAGUGUGUAUGGUGAUAGCUUUGAUACGUGUCUAGAUAACCUGAAAUUGAUCCUGAUAAGGUGUUUAGAGACUAAUCUCGUGCUUAAUUGGGAAAAAUGUCAUUUUAUGGUUGAACACGGGAUAGUCCUGGGUCAUAUUGUAUCGUCUAAGGACAUUGAGGUUGACAAGGCUAAAAUAGACAUUAUUUCUGCAUUACCUUACCCCGCGAGUGUGCGGGAGGUGCGUUCUUUUCUUGGACAUGCAGGUUUUUAUCGAAGGUUCAUCAGGGACUUUUCAAAAAUUGGAGCCCCGUUGUUUCAGCUCCUACAAAAGGAUGUGACCUUCGAAUUCAAUGAUAAGUGUGAGGAAGCCUUCAACAAGUUAAAAGAAUUGUUGACUUCACCCCCAAUCAUCCAACCCCCUGACUGGAAUCUACCAUUCGAGAUUAUGUGCGAUGCCAGUGAUCAUGCCGUAGGGGCUGUAUUGGGGCAAAGAGUAGGGAAGGCAGCUCACGUCAUAUACUAUGCAUCCCGAGCAUUGAAUGGAGCCCAGUUGAAUUACUCCACCACUGAGAAGGAGCUUCUUGCAGUUAUUUUUGCUUUAGAAAAAUUCAGGUCGUAUUUAUUAGGUGCUAAAGUAAUUGUAUUUUCUGACCAUGCAGCAUUAAGGUACCUAAUGACCAAGAAAGAUGCAAAGCCGAGGCUCAUCAGGUGGAUAUUGCUACUACAGGAAUUUGACAUGGAGAUAAGAGACAAAAAAGGCUCAGAAAAUCUAGUAGCAGACCAUUUAAGUCGCAUACCAAUUGGGGAGGAUAAUGAGCCGUUGAGGGAUGCAUUCCCUGAAGAACAUUUAUUUUCCUUAAAUUCUCAAUUGCCUUGGUAUGCCGAUCUAGUCAAUUAUUUGGUAACUGGUAAUUUUCCUGCAGGUUGGCCAAAAUCAAAGAGGGAUAAAUUGAAGAGCGACGCCAAGUAUUUUAUCUGGGAUGACCCGUACCUAUGGAAGAGAUGUGCCGACCAAGUAAUGAGGAGAUGUGUAAGUGAAGUGGAGUUUCAAUCAAUUUUAGCUUUUUGUCAUACUUUUGCCUGUGGAGGUCAUUUUGGACCUAAGAGAACUGCUCAUAAGGUUUUAGAAAGUGGAUUUUAUUGGCCUUCAUUGUUUAAGGAUGCCUAUGUGUUUUGUAAGUCCUGUGAUCGCUGUCAAAGAGUAGGUAAUAUAACCCGCAGGGAUCAAAUGCCCCAGGUCCCGUUGAUUUUUGUUGAAAUUUUUGAUGUCUGGGGUAUAGAUUUCAUGGGGCCUUUUCCUACUUCAUUUGGUUUUUUAUAUAUUUUGCUGGCAGUUGAUUAUGUGUCUAAAUGGGUGGCGGCAAAGGCCACUCGAACUAAUGACUCGAAAGUAGUUGCAAAUUUUAUCAGGUCUAAUAUUUUUGUGCGAUUUGGAAUGCCUAGAGCUAUUGUCAGUGAUAGGGGAACGCAUUUUUGCAACAAAACCAUAGCUGCGUUGUUCCGCAAGUAUGGUGUACUCCACAGGGUCUCAACGUCAUACCACCCUCAGACCAAUGGUCAAGCGGAGGUGUCGAAUCGGGAGAUUAAAUCCAUUUUAGAGAAAAUGGUGCGCCCUGAUAGGAAAGAUUGGAGCCAAAGGUUGGAGGACGCACUCUGGGCCUAUCGGACGGCGUACAAGACUCCUAUAGGGAUGUCACCGUACAGGUUGGUAUUUGGGAAGCCGUGUCACCUUCCAGUGGAGUUUGAGCACAAGGCUUUUUGGGCAAUAAAGCAAUGCAAUAUGAAUUUAGAGGAGGCCGGUGCUAAACGGAAGUUGGAUUUGCAAGAGUUGGAGGAGAUUCGGAACGAAGCAUACGAACACGCCUUGAUUUAUAAGGAGAAAAACCGGGCAUUUCAUGACCAACAAAUUUCAAGAAAAACAUUUGAAGUUGGUCAGAAGGUCCUUCUGUACCAAUCCAGGCUCAAGUUAUUCCCAGGUAAGCUACGUUCCCGUUGGAUUGGACCUUUUAUUGUGACUCAUGUUUUUCCCUAUGGUGCAGUUGAAAUCCAGAGUGCUAAGACAGACAACAAAUUUGUGGUGAAUGGACACCGUCUCAAGUAUUAUUACGAAGGAUUUUCAGGUGGAGAGGGGGAGACAAUAAGGCUAGACGCACCACCGUAUUCUAAUCAAUGACACUUUACCAUGUCUAGCCAAAGACAUUAAAGAAAGGCGCUCAUUGGGAGGCAACCCAAUUGUUUCUUUCAAUUGCUUGUUGGUUUCGUGUCAUAGUUUAAAUCUGUUUUCCCUUUAAUUUGACUGAUUUUGUGUUUCAGUUUUCGUCUUUGCUGAUUUGUAGGUGACUUUCAGUCAUGACGUGCCCGCGUGGUGACAUGCAGGGCGCUCAUGAUCAGAAAUUCUGAAACUUCUGGGAGCUCUCCUGCCCUCAUGACGUGACCGCGUGGUGAUGUGCAGGGCGCUCGUGAUCAGAAAUUUCUGAAACUUCUGGGAGCUCUCUUGCCCUCAUGACGUGCCCGCGUGGGGAUGUGCAGGACGCUCACGAUCAGAAAUUUCUGAAACUUCUGGGAGCUCUCCUGCCCUCAUGACGUGCCCGCGUGGUGAUGUGCAGGGCACUCGUGAUCAGGAAAUUCUGAAACUUCUGGGAGCUCUCGUUCCCGCUUGACGUGCCCGCGUCACGUUCGCGGGAAAGGUAAGAAUUUGAAAAAAAAAUGUUUCAUUAUUAGUAUUAUUGUUAUUAUUAUUUUUAUUAUUAUGCCUUUCAUUAAAAGAAGAAGAAAGAUUAUUUCAAAAAAAAAAAUCUUUAAUUAAAAAAAUAUAUAUAUAUAUAAAUAUAAGAAUAAUAAUAAUAAGAAGCUGGAAAUUUUUCCUCUUAACCGUAGCAAUGAAUUUCAUAAAAAAAAAAAUUUUUUCUCUUCUUUUUUUUUCUUUCUUUUCUUUUCUUUCUUUUCUUUCUUUCUUCUUCUUCUUUCUUUCUUUCUCUUUUCUUUCUUUCUCCCCUGCUGCUCCCCUGCUCUCUGUCGUCCGAAUCACUUCACCCGCCGCCACCUCGCGGAUCGCGCACGCCGCUCGCUCGUCAGCCAAGGCCCAGCCACAGCAGGGCACAGCUCCAGCUCAUCCACCGCAGUCGCGCGAGUCGCUGGGCGCCGCCACUUCCCUGCUCUGUGCGCCGCUGACCCAGCCCUCUCCGCUACGCGCACGUCGCACGCUGGCCACAGCUCCUCGCACAGCCAGCCGCGCGAGCUGUGCAUCCACCGCCAGAUCCCCAGCCGCGAGCAGCCCACAGCUGCCGCCGAGCUCUCCUCCGCCCGCGCGCCCCUGCUGCUCACGCCACCGCCGCCCACUGACGAAUCUUCUCCGCCACCAGAUCUGCGCGGCGGCCGAAGUUUCUCCCACCUUGAGCGCUCCACCGCCAUCUCCACCUCCAUAGCGCACCAGCUCUGCUCCUGCCGCAGCUCUUCCCUCACGCAACCACAGCCGUACCAGCCACAGCGGACCGCAGCCCCCUCUCACUCCAGCUUCACGACACAGCUAUCUGCUCUAUCUGCAGACUGGCGGGGUACUAGUGGAGGUAUUUGGACUUUAUUCCCCAAUUUUUGAUAUCUAAUUGGUACUGCCUGGGUUGAUAACUAGUUGCUACUGUCAACGGUUGGAGGUUAUUUUUCAAUUGUGUGAGUUUCCACCAGUGGUACUGGGUGGAUUAUUUUUGCUUGGACUGGCUAAUUCUUUUGGGUUGGGUGAAAUUGUGCAUUUAAUUGGCCAUCUGGAGCCACUUGAUGGGAAUUUGGGGGAGCUAUAAUACUGCAUUAUGACUGGCUGAGUAGCUGUGUUUAUUGCGUUGUUACUGUCCCCUUGCUGCACUCCUAUUGCUGAAUAUGAGUUAGCAAUUUUUCUUGGCCAACUGGAGCCGUUUAUUGAGAUUUUAAAUGUGUUGCAAUGCUCUGAUUAUUUGUUCGAUUUGGAGAUGACUUUGUGAACAUCACAUUGCUUGGGGAUAUUGCCUGAAUUGCUGGAUAACUCGCUGGGGUUUCUCUUGUGGUUUUAGCUGAGUUAUUUCUGAAUUGCUUGUUGAUUACGUGCUGGAACCCUUUUGUUUGCUAUUGGCUGGGUUAUUACUGGGAGGUUUUCGCUUUGUUAUUUCUGGUUUCUAUACCUGUUAGAUUUUCGGUUGCCUUGAACUUACUGUUGGGGGACAUGGUGAGACCAAAAUCAUCCUCUAGGUCUAGGACCCCUCGUUCUCAGCCUCCUCCACAGGCAUCUAUUCCUGUGAAUACACCUACCAACCUACCGUACUCCUCUAAUGUCCGAACCCGUUUGGGUAGGGGUAGGGGUGCUCAGGUAGAUACCCCAGCUCACUUUGGAGGGCACCUGACCUUCACUAGACCUGCGGAUCAGCAGAGGUAUGCCAAAGUCUGUGAGCGGCGUAUCAUACCUUGUAAGACUAGUGACAAAUUAAGCAUGAUGGGCCUAGGCAUACGAGAGGAGGUCAAGCAGAUGUUUACAGCCAUCGGGUGGCGCCCAUAUCUCUAUAUCUUCUGCCCCGCAUUUGUCGAGCUGACUCGGGAGUUUUAUGCUACCUUUGAGUUUGAGUUGCCCUCGAGGUUCACCGCCGCGACACCUAAUGUCAUUCGCUUCCGUCUGAUGGGUCGGGAAUUUAAUUUUUCGAUUACCGAAUUUAAUUUGGCAUUCGGAUUCAUUACUCGAGAGUAUGCUGAGACGAGGGAGUAUAGUGAGGGUGCCUGUGACUACGUAGAGCCAUUUCUCUCCCGCUACCAUGAUGUAUGGGAGGAAAUGUCCGUCGAUGGGGAGCGCUACGAUCCUUUCCGGUCUAGGAGUUCCUUUCUUAAGGACCCUAGUGCCCGCUAUGUUCAGCGAUUCUUAGCUUACAGCUACUCGGGGCGCAAGGACAGCUCCGGUAUACUCUCUCGCCCCGAGUUUUUCUUCCUCUGGAGUAUGAAGAACAACAUCAAGGUCAAUUUGGGGUGUUGGUUGGCGGCGCAGUUCAAGACGGUUCUGACCAAGAAGAACAAACCUCUGAUCCUUGGGCCCUUUAUCACUCACUUGGCGACCGAGCUAGGGGUUAUUGACUUGGAGGACCAUGACCUACAUUUGGCAUUCGAGAUGGAGCUCUUGGAUGUGGAUUGCUUAGAGAGGAUGGGAGUCGUCGAGCGCUUGCCCGAUGGUUCCUACCAGUUUACCCCUCCGGGACCACCUCGAGCUCCGGGUGCACGCCCUACGCCCCGACCAGGACCCUCUUCCUUUCAUGAGUCGGCCGAGGACACUGCUGGGCCGUCAUCUUCUGCACCACCUCCACGCCGUGGGACUUCUGAAUGGCAGCAACUCCGGGAGCAGGUUCAGGAUUUGCAGGCCCGAAUGACCAACGUCGACGCCAAUGUCGCAGGCAUAGCACAGAAUUUGGCGCAGUUUCUGAUGCAUACAAGCUUUGCACCUCCGUUCCCACCUCGCCCUCCGCAUUGACCCGGUUUCAGGGAAGUUUGGCUGAUUCCCCUCUCACUUUUGCUUCACUUUUGGUUCUUAUUUGUCACAUUGAGGACAAUGUGUCCUAUAGGUGUGGGGGGGAUCUAAGGUUAUGCUAGUGUGCUCCGUUUUUAGUAGUUUUCAGUUUUCAGCUUUACAUUUUAGUAGUUUUUAGUGUUUUUAGUUUUUAGUAGUUUUAGUUUGUAGUUUUUGUUGGUUAAUGUUUAAAAAAAAAAAAACCACAAAAGAGAAAAAAGUGAGUUUUUAGUUUUAGUAGUUUUUCGUAGUUUCAUUCUUAGUUGCUUAUUUUCCAUUCUUUCUUCUUGGUGCUUACCCUUCAUGUGAAUGCUAAAAAUUGAGAUGUUGGUUUAUUGCCUCCAAGUCUACUUUUGCCAAGUUUUUAAAAUACAAAAUGUAUCGGGUUAAUGUGGUUGGAUCCAGAAUAUCUUCCUGGUGAAUAUCGAAUUGCUCGGCUCCUUUGAUUUCUGUGAUGAAUUUCUCUAGACAUGGGGAAUGACUGUUGGCAUUUUAAUGUGAACUGGUCCAAUAUUGACUCCAGUUCUCUAUGUUUGGCAAUAAUGAGGCGAGCUGUUCCUAUUUUUGGUUCUUAGUGUUGUUAGUAUGUGUUUUUGGCUUUGCUUGGCUGUGAAUAAGCUUGACUGUACUCCGCUAUUAAGUUACUACUGAGUAACCGGGGAUCGGCACCUAAAAGUGUCGAUUCUCGCGACAAAAGGUGGUACUUUAUAUGAGUACGUGGUCAUAUAGCGGUAGGAGCUGAGUAACCGGGCUCCUUCAUCUAAAAAUGUUGGAGUUCGCGUCAAAAUGCCCCGACGGCUAACGACUAAGUCUUUUUGUGUUAAUUAUUAUUGUUCUGAAAAAAAAAAAGAAAAAAAAAACGAAAAAAGAGAGAAUAAAUAAUGGGAAGGCUUGCUGGUUUUUGGACUUAAUAUGGAGACUUGUGUGAAUAUUUGGACCGUUAGCUGAUAAAUGUUGUGCGCCAUUCCCUUUUCUUAGAGUAGUUAACCUGGAAAUUGAAGGAAUUGGCAGUUUAGGGGCUAACCGGGGGGAUGCUUCUUGGAUUCUAAUCACCAACGCUCGAUAUGUGUUUUUCUCUUGAAUGUCUUGGCAAUAUAGGAGAUUGGGCAAUGGCCAUCGUCGAAUUUUGGUGUUCGUUUACUUUUCUUAUGCUUGAGGACAAGCAUGGUUUAGGUGUGGGGGGAAUUGAUAGGGUGCAAUUUAUUCAUUUAUUUUAUUAUUAAUUCCUCCUAUUACCUGACUUGAUGUGGAUUUAUUUGUUGGAUUCUACUCACUUUUAGUAUUUGACGUUUAUUUCAGGGAGUAGAAUAUAAAUAUGAUAACAGGUGCCAAAUUGGAAAAAAAAAAAGAAUUCAAAUGAGAAAGCUUGUCCCAGGGGCACUUUUGGAAGAGAAGAUGCCAUGCCCAUUUUGGUAAUUUUCGCAAGGAAAUGACGGACGGAGGGCUUCGCUUCCUGUGGAGGUCCCGCCGCAAUUAAAAGAAAAAAAGGCAGCAAGCCUGGGAGAGCUAGCUUGUUCUUGAUUCUCCGUCUGGAGCUUAGCAGCAAUUUUUGACUUUUCCCUUGUAAUUCACUUUUUGGCUUGAGAAGCCUACGGAUGUUAGGAAGAAAAGGCAUUUGUUAGCCUUGGGCUUUGACUUUUCCUUUUCCUCUCUUUUGAAUCCUGCGCAUGGCAGGAGCAUUGGAGAAUUGUUUCUUUUGACUUUUUUCUUUAGCUUGAGACGAAGUGAAAACCAUGAACUUUCGUAGCUUUUCUAUUCAUUCGAUAUAUUGAGACGAAUUGGAUUUUGCCAAAUUUCAACGGACAUGGCCGCUGGUUUCUCUGCAAUUUUGUGUGGGUUUAGUUCAUCAAUUAUGAACUAAUUUUUUCCACUCUAGUCAAGGAGCAAUGGAUGCUUUGGGUCACCUAAAAUUGUGAGAUCAUUCUAAUUUAAUCUUUUCCUUUUAUUUAUCGGUAUUCGCAUAUUCCUUGAUUGAUAAGCUUAUGAUUAUUUAAUUAAUUGGUUGUCUUGGAUCCGGAUAAUUAAUUGAUUGGGUAAUCUAUUGUCAAUUGGGGUAUUAAAUCCGUAAUUGUUUAAUUACCUCAAAAUAGUGACAACUGGCACGAUUAGAUUCGUGUCAGGGGGAUACGCGGGCUAAUCUAAAAUAACCCUGGUAGUGUGUUAUUUGAUUAGAAUAGGGCUCAUCUAAUACGUAAGGCAGUUGGGGAAUUAAAUUCUACGGGCGUACCUAGAAUUAUUUCUCAACUAGAGCAGUGAUUAACGGGCGUACCUUGAUCACCGACACAGUAAGGAGGGGUUGACUGCCAACGCUUGGUUGGUAGUUAUAACCUAUUUAUUGGUAAAUAAUUGGGAUUGCCUUUGCUUCGAUGAUCAAUUAGGUGAACCAUUGCUGAAGUUACUUCUUGGCUAGAUCUUUAGUUAAUAUUUCCUUGAUUGUAGUGGAUUGCCAUUUGACUUUUAAUUGCCUACUUUAUUUUAUUUUUGAUUGUUUCCUCGUUUUAAUUAAUUUAGGCCUUUAAUUAUUGUUAUCCUGAGUUCAGAAAAUUGUGGUUUAAUUUCUAGUUAGUUGUUUAUUUUUACUUUCCCAUUUGAAUUUAUUUAAUUAUCGUCGUUCCUACAAAAUCCCCCCCUGUGUCACUUUGGAUUUCUUAAGAAACGAAUAUACCCAGUCUCUGUGGAUACGACCCUACUUGCCCUGUCUACAAAUUCAUAAUCACUUGUGAAAAGGAAUAACCAUUCCAUUCGGGUAUAUCGGAUCAAGCAAACUCUUCGGGAACAGGGUGAAUCAAGUAACCCAUUGCACACCUAGAGUCCCUGCUCCAGUACUUGGAAUUGGGUUUUGGUCAUUUUAACUGGCAAUUAGGUUUAAUUUUAUUAUUGCACAGGCUGACGACCUGUCAAUGACAGGUAAAUACUUUUAGAUAAUGGGUCAUAUAUAGAAGUCGCCUUAUUAACUUCAAAAGUUUUUGGAAGUCCUAGUUGAGGCUAAAACUGAAAGUUUUGUUCCCUCUGCUUGGGAUCAAAAGAUGACCAGAACUUCUGAGGAUAAGCCAGAAACUCAGUCACCUAUUGCUUACUGAUAAUCUGAUUGUCUCAGCUACAAAGGUAAGGUUAAGAUUAGUUGGCGGUGUUGAUAUGAGUUCAUGAUGCAAAACAAAGAAAAUAUCCAUCCCGAAUUGCCAAUUGGCCUUCAGCUUCAAGUCCAAAAGCCUUUCCCCAGUUUAUAUGUCACAAAACUAGAAAUAUUACUAAUGUGUUAGUGAGAACAGACAUUUACUGCUGCGAACUCAAGACUAAACAACAUUGAGAUUUUGGGCUGAAGAUAAAAUAGAAUGUAUAUAAGUUAUAACUGCUGAAUACCUUAGUACUAGUAGUUCUAGUGAAAUGCAGGAAAAAGAAAACUUUUAUCUAGUUCGAAACUUUACAAAUUCAAAACCCUAGCGAAGUAAAAAAAUAUGAGCAACGAUUGAAGUAUCUUUGUUUAUCGAAUGAUCGAGGUGUCCACUGGACAUUUUGCAAGCUAGAAUAAUCUAAAUGGUCUAUCUACCAUAUAGUCAGUGUUAGAUAAUUAUGUCGUUUGCUUGUAAGGAUCUGCAAUAAUAACAAAGGAAAGUGAUUUAAUUAAUAAUGCAACUGAUACGAUAUUGGUGGAUGGCUCAGUCCCUUGUUUCUCUCGUUUGCCCUUCUGUGUCUAUCAAGUAGGGAUCUUGCCUUCUACUGUCGUAUUUUCUGACAAAGCUCUAUAUCAAAAGAGCUUAGAGUUCUGGAUGCACGUUCUUACCUACAUUUCAAGUUCACAAGGAUCCAAGCAAAUAAAUUUUGAUUUUAGCUUAGAUUUUCAAUCAUUUUUUAGCAUGAACCUAUCACGUGACUCACACAGAGCUAAAAUAUUAGAUUUCAUUCGUAGUUAAAUAAAUAACUUUAACCGUAUUCACUUUUGCCUCAAAAAAAAAAAUCUAACUUAAAUCAUAUUUAUUCUUUCUCCUAAAGAAGUGGGAUUUAACCUAAGUUAUACUCAGUUUCGCCACUAAAAAAAUGGGAUAUGAUCCUUUUGUAUAUAAAAAAUAACUGCAUUUGGGUCACGUGAUAAUUUUAGGUCAAAAAGUGAUUGAAAACUUAGGUAAACACCAAAUUUUAUUAGUUUGGAUAUGUAAAGAAUGUAAAGAUAACAUUUUAAAAGUGAGGAACAAAAAAAAUUUCAUUCGAUGAAAUGUGAAGGAUGUUACGAAUGAUUUUGCCUUAGUUAAAUGUAGUUUUUUGCAGAUGACAGUUUCGUCACGUCCCCAUUACAGUUAGCAAAUCAUUUGAGGAUCGAUCCUCAACAAGCUGGUAAUACUAAUGUGGUCAAAUCUUAGGAUAUAUUUGGUAAUUCAGUUAAACCUCAGAGGAGGUAGAUGUAAUUAACCCUCCCUAUACGUAAAAUUCGAAAAGAAGCUUGCCCGAGACCCAAUCGCGUCAAAGUUGGAAAUGUAAUACCGAAAAGCAUUACUAGUUUAACAACUUGUUUUCCAAAGGUCAAUAAAUACGAAAUGCCUCUUGUAAUUACGGGUGGUAACAAAUACUAACAAAAUGUAGAGAUUACCCCUUUAUGAUUUAAACAGGUAGCUAACAGUUUGGCUAGAACACUUUCUUAUGAGAGAAUUUUUCUGGCACCCAAAUGGCUUUAUUGUAUAUGGUCCCUUCUUUCUUCUAUAAAACCCAAAACUGCUCUACUGUUGCUGAUAUCCAAAGUGUGUUUUUCCUGUAUAUACAAUUUGCAGUGAGACCCGUUAGGUCCAGUACUCUGUACAUAACAAGAUAAUUAGCAAUUCUAGCAUCCAUAAUAAGUCUUACAACCAUAGUACAAUUCCCAAGAAUCCAACCAAAUUUGCUGCUAAUUAGACAAUGAAACAUCAGCCUUACUACAUACCUGAUUACAAGAGAAAGAGACUAAACUACCCAACUAAUUACUCAAACUAAAGUUCCUGGCUCUAAUAAGGCUAAACACGAUGAUAGUCAUCACCUUCUGCAAAAUGUAAAACACAGAGGGGUAAGUGACUUUCAUCCAAAGGCGUUUACUAAGAGCAUUUAUCAUAUACAUAUGCACAGCAUGUGGUCAUCCAAUUCCAAACGGAUCAAAGCAUCAAAAGUUCAAACACCAUUCACACACUUGUUCCCUAUCGACAGACUAGGAUAUGCAGCAGGAAGGCUAUUCCUUGCUUUUGAUGCUUUCCAAAUUCUGAAAAAUUCACAAGUCUCUUGUACCUUUAAUUGUCUAAGAAGUUCAAAAUUAUGAGAAGAGUAUUUUAUUUUAUUCUUUUCUUAUCAACCAGCGAACUAAAUAAUUAUGAGAAAUGAAUGAACUGGAGGCAAAUUAAGUCUAUCAUGCUGCAGAGCCCCUAAACCUAAAGCUUCGCUGCAAAACAAAGGCUUUUGCAUCGAAGAAAUUGCACACCCAAAGUAGUCGACACGACAAUUCUUGGGGAGGGGUGGGAUUUGGGAAGUGGAAAGGGGAGUGGAUAGGGGAAUUAGAACCCAAAACUUUUAAUUCUUGGAGUCUCAACCGCAGCCAUUAGACCAAGACCUCUUUGGAGAAUCAACACUACAAUUCAAACUAUUAGGAGUAGUAAAAAUUACAUCAUCAUACCUAUGAAAGUAACAAUUCUCCCCGCUUCAUCGACCUGCUAACAACGUCAUGAACACGACAUCCUCUGACCCUGCCAUUGUGUGUUCUUCUAGAAAUAAUUACCAAGUUUCUAGAUAUUAUUUCCAACAAAUAUUCCUCUGCAACAUCUUCCGGUGCUUUUGACUCAGUUUCUUGUAUCAAUCCAUUCGUGAUCCACAGUCGCAACAAUUUUCGAGCAGGGAUUUCUUGAUUCUCUGGAAAUUCUCCUAAAUAAAGAAAGCAGGGCUUCAAGUGAUCUGGUAAGCUGCCAUAAGCAACUUUUAGUAGAGAAAGGAACACAUUUCUACCACGAACACGAUCUGAGAACAAUUUUUGUAACAAUUCUAAACAGUAGGAAAGAUUCCAUUUAUUCUUUUCCAGGACACCAGCCAUGAUAAAAAUUGCAAGAGGUACUCCGUGGCAGUAGUCUACAAGCUCCUCUCCUAUGCUUCCAAGUUCGGGAGGUAAAUAAGUGUCACCAAAUGUUUUUCUACGUAAUAAAUUCCAAGAUUCACGGUGAGAAAGAGGAAAAAUACAUGUCAAAUCAGCUUGCGAAGCCACAUUACGCUUUCGGGCGGUCAACAUAAUUCUACUUCCCGAAUUAUCAUCUGGAAAUGAUCUUCUUAAAGCAUCCAAGGCUGCGCUGUCCCAUAUAUCAUCCAAAACAAUGAGGUAUUUUUUUUGCUUCAGACAUUUGUACAGAACUCCAGCUAAGCGAUCUUCAUCCAUGUCAUAAAUUCUGUUAGAGACAGCCAUAACAUCACGCAAUAUUUCUAAAAAGAGCUCCCGCAUUCGAUAUACUUGAGACACAGUACACCACGCACGGAUCUGGAAGUGUUCAGCAACUCGAGGAUGGUUGUAAACCACUUGUGCUAGAGUUGUCUUACCCACCCCACCCAUGCCGACAAUUGAAAUGAUUUCCGUCCUCUUUGUUCCUGUUGUUAGUUUAUAAGUUAUAUUGCUUAUCUCCCUGUCAAGUCCAAUUACUAAGUUGUCAAUUCUCAGCGGACCAGCUGUGGCAUCACUGUCGGCAUCAAUGCCAUACCUUUUCUCGUCGUAUAUUUCCAUGACCUUUGCUUUAAUGAUUUUGAUGUCUUCCAUUGCUGAAGGAAACCACAGCACAAAGUAGCCAAGAGCAUUAUCUCUGACCACAAGCAAAUCGGUGAUAUACUUCGCCUUGCCCGCAACAUCUUUAAUACAUGCCCGAAGAUCUUUCACUUCUUGAUGGUUAUUAUAGUGCUCUCCAGUAUCCAUGAGGAAGGAUUCCAGGAACUGGAGCUCCCCGAGUAGCAUUUCAAAGUGAUGUUUCACGAAGACAACUGAUUUGGCUUUGCCCUUUAUAUUGUCCAAGAGGUCAAAUAUUCCUACAGUUCCAAACGUUUCACAGCAAUCUGUGAAUAGAACUUGGAGGCAAGUUUCUUGGAUCUCUGCUUUGAAAAGCUCAAUCUUAUCUGCAAACUCAGAGAGCAAACAACUCAUUUCAGCGCCCAUUUCCUCGUUGGUUACAUGCUCAUGAAGGAAAAAAAUUAGAGAUGCCGCCUCAUUGGCUGUAGCUUCACACUUUGCCGACAUCAGUUGAUCCACUUCUUCCACGGGAGGAUUGAUGAGGAAGGUUCUGAGGAAUCUGACCCCUUCCUGGAGGGUUUUAACUUCAUCAUUCAUGUGAACCAUCAAGCCUAACUUGGGAAUUUUAUUAAACUUCAUCAAUAUAACCUCUGCCUUGAUCAACUUAAUUUUCACAAGCAAUCUGAAAAUGGAAAGAUCCAAUUCACUGGCCAUGUCUUCUGUCAUUCCACUGCCACCAGAUGACGAAAUAAGUGAUGAUGACUCACUAACAACAGAGUCAAGAUGCAGCACAAACAAUUCCCAGUCCUCUGAAUUAGCCUCAGCAUCUAUGGUGGCCAUGAGACAAGUUCUCAAGAACUCCAUCCCCUCACGAAGGCUUUUAAUUUCAUGAUCCUUAACACGGGACACCAGAUUAGCUUCAUGAUUGUGUAGCCCCAAUAACGAUAGAUCCACCUUAACCAGCUUGAUCUUAAGCAGCAAUAUAUGAAGUGAAAGCUUCGUUUCCAUCAUGGGAUAUUGCAUCAAAUUGUUUUCAUGAAUUGAAUAUAUGAAAGUUAUUACCUCGGCUCGUAGCGCUUCAACAUGUUUGGAGAGUAGUUUGCCAUCCUCUUCUUUCUCCUCAGGUAAAUCAAUUGGAACACUUCUUAGGAAUUUCAACCCUUCAUGGAGGGCUGUGUAUUUAUCCUUCAUUGACACCAUAAAAACUUCUUGAGAGUCUAGCUGCUGAAUCAGAAUGACCUCCGCUUUGAUCAGCUUCAUUCUCUGAAGAGACCUUGAGAGAACAAGAUUCAUUUCAACGACUUGCUCUUCUUUCACUUCGUUGACCUGAAAUGAUGCUGCCUCCCUAGCGGCUGAUCUGAUAUCUGAUGAGAUCCUUUCCAAAUCUCUAGUCGACUCAUCUGGUAGAAUCAUUAGAAAUUUCAUGAGGCAUAUUAGCUCCUCAUGAAUGGAACUGAUUCGAUCUUUGAGGGAUUCUAUCGUGUUUUCCAGGAGAAAGUUGACAAAGCUUGCGAUUGCAUCUGUUUUUGCCGUUUCCGGUCCCAUUGGCAACGAAGCUUUCAGAAAUUGAAUGAACAUCUCCAUCAAAUCUGAACUAGAGGGCUUAACCUCCUGAAGUAAAUCAGAAAGCUUAACAUCCGUAUGACAAGCCAUGACUUCUUCGGGUGCCCCAUCCCAACACAAAAAGGAGAACCAUGCUGCUUUGGUUGCAAAAGAAUGAGCAUAGGCAAGAAAAGUUGCCAUCUCCUGAUGAACAAUAUUGGAUUGCUUUGCAGCCGUCCCAAUGAAAUCCCUCAGGAAACUUAACUUCUCUAUUAGUAUUUUGACUUGUUUCUUCAUCAAAGAGACUAGACAAGUCGAGCCAAUAAGAAUAUCCUCCAGGUGCUCCAGUACAGAGUCAAUUAAAUCCAUGGCAGAUGCAGGAUCAAUCAGAGGAGAGUUGACCUCCCUCCUCCAGGGCUGCUCAGACAAGAUAGCAUAAGCAUUCUUUAUUUUGGGUUCCCAAAGUUUUACAUUUUCCAGCAUGUAAGAAACCGAAGAAUCAACUUUCUCCAAAUCCACUUGCAGAAAACAAGCAGAAGAAAGCUCAUCUAUCGCCUUGCUAAAUGCAACAUCAGUUUCAAAAAUGCUGGUUAACGAGCUUGAUGCAGAAGGAAUAGCCUCAGGUAUUCCUGUGGCAAUCAAGCAAGUCCUCAGAAAUUUUGAUUUCUGUUUAAGGGUCAAGACUUGAUCCCUCAACGGAGAUGCCAAGCUGCAAUUCUUCUCUAGCCAAUCCAGAUUUUGUAUGGGAGAAUCCAGGAAUGUGUUGACCAUCUUGGUUUCUCUCUGUUUUUCUCCCUGACACAGAUUUGUGGCAGAAAUGAAGGAUGUGAUGAUCAGAAAACGAAAACAGAAAGAGAUUUGCUGUGAUCAAACGAAGAGAGACUCUAGCUGACAAGUGCUGUGAAGCAACAAACCAAAGUUGUGGUAAAAUUGACUGGGAGUUUCUACCGAAACAAUAUUAUAGUCUUAUUAAUUAAGACCGCCAAAGACUCUCCCCGGUCUGUCAUCUAUCUAUGCUCCAUAUAAAAUGUCUUGAAUGAUUUACAUUUUGAUAUUUCUUACUUUUUUGGAUCUUGCUAAUAUACCCAUACUAAUUAUGAUGAUAGCUCUAAUAUACCCGCACUAAUUAUGAUAGUAGCUUAACCAUAGACGAAAAAAUUGUCAUGUCUAAUAAACAUGGUGAAAUAAGUCUUACUCUCCGAUCAAAAUAUGAAUUCUUAAUUCUGAAUCUUAACCUAUCAAAUUUGGUUGAACCAAACCCCAAUCAAACCCUACAAGAGCCAAUUAAAUCAGCACAACUGUCCCUGAACAAUGGCAUUAGAAAGAAGGAAUUUAAAAUGACCGUAUCCAAAAUAUGAUUUCUUAUAGUCAAAAGCAUAAAAUAAACAAAGCUCUGGACAAUCAUAUUGACAAUUGAAAUCCACUUUCUUAGAUGAAGUUAUGAAGAUGCCACUUCCUCUGAUAUUACCAUUUUAAUUCACCACAAUGAUACUCCUGUCCAUAGAACAAAUCAAGUAAUUGUUUAUGAUUUCAACUUACGAUUUCUUCCUUGAUACAAUAAUUGGAAACAAAACGAAUGCUUCCAUAGUUAUGAUCCGAGAACACAUUCCAGCAAGUAAAAAAUUUAUGCCUUCACUGUGAGAAACCUUGGCGGAGCAUAAUGCUAUGCCGUGGUAGCACUAAUACAACCUCACUGCGUUUUAAUUUAUUUCUAAUUGAGCAUUGUUUAUCGAUUUGAUAGGUAUAUAUUUUAUGCUUGACUAUCUAUGGGAGUUCAAGGGCUCCUGUUAUGUGUGUUUAGAAUAAAGUGAUCCAAUAGAAGUCAGCUGUCAAAUCUGGUCUAAAUUUGGCAAUUCCAAGAGAAGUGAUAAAUCUAUAUGCUAUCUAUUGCUCAGAGGUAUAACAUAGAAAAGAAUCUAUUGGUUAAGAGGUAUUUAUAGGGUAACUUAGGCAUAAUUUAAAUGUUUUAACAAAUGCCCAUUAGAUACGCAUUCAAAAAUUAUUAUUUUAACAGAAUUGUUUAAGGUAGAAAUUUUUAUCUUCAUUCAUUGCUAAGUUAACCAUGCGAUGGUCAUAAACCUGUGCAUAGUAGCUCUAUCCAUCAAUGUUGUCGUGGAAAAUAUUAUCCCUCUAUACAGCAAAAGCAAACAAGGAGGAAGUAUUGAUGCAGUUAAAAUAACUGUAUUCAUAACUGUGUUCAAAGAGCUCCAUGAAGAUGGUCAAAAACAUGCACAAAAAAAAAAAAAGGUGGUACCAUUUAACAAUAUCCCCAAUAUGUAAGUGGUUGAUCAGACAUAUGAUUGUCUAUUAGUUAUUGAUAGGGUAUAAUUUGUUAGUAAAUUUAUUAUUGAUUUCCCCUUCUAUCCCUGACAAAUAUUGUGUUAAUUGCUGAUAUUUACUCAUAUUUGGUAUUUGGAAUCAAUUUCAGGAGUGAAGCAGAAAAUUACCAAAAAGGAGGGACUUGUAUGGGAAAAUGCAGACUUCUAAGGGCUUCAACCUUUGGGUCCUUGAAUUGGUGGGGACUACAAGCUAGUGCAAGGCAUUUAGUCAUUUGGGCUUUUCAAAGAAAGCAACGUAGAGAGACUUGGAACAACAAGUACUUUGGAGGCUUUGUCCACAUGUGCGGGAACCACGGAUAAGAAACAUGAGUCAUUUGGACUCUAGGAAAAGAAACGUACAAGACUUUGAAUUUGGUGUGGGGACCACUAGAGAUAGCAUUAGACUUCCUUUUGGCUUCAAAAAGGGAGAAAUGUACGAGAGGUUUAUCAAUCAAUAGUUUUAGUUUAGGCUUUUAGCAUAGUUUUAGUUUCCUUUUCUUAGCUCUUUCGCAUGAUUGUUCUCCAUUAAUGGAGAACUAACCUCUUAAUUCAAGUCAAGGGGACAACUGGAGAUUUAGUUCAACAAUUACUGUGAGAUCUAAUUUAUUUUAAUUGCUUCCUUAAUUUAUUGGUAUUUAUAUGUUCCCUACUUUUAAUUUCUAUAGCUCGUGUGAGUAAUUGAAUAGAUGCGCAAUAUUUAAUUAUUCACAUAGGCUAUUUUGCUAAAUAGGGAUAAUUGAAUCCGUAAUUGUUCGUUAUCUUUAUCUCAGUAGCAAUUGGCGUAAUUGGGUUUAUGUCAGGGGAGCAUACGAUCUAACUUAAACAAACCCUCGUAGCGUGUUUGUUAGUUAGGAUUGGGUCUUUCUAAUUAUUAAUGCAAUCUAGGAAUUAAAUCCUACGGUCGUACCUAGGGUUGUUUUUGGGUUAGAGAAAUAGUUAACGGUCGUAUCUUAACUAUCGAGAAAUUAAGGGAAGGUUGGUUGUUUAUCCCGUGCAUGACAACUAUAACUGGUCUAUUAAUAAAUGUGGAAUUAUGUGUGAAUCAAUGAUCAGUGCCUGAACCAUUUCUGAAGUGUACCCUUGGCUAGAGUUUUCCCUUAAUUAUUUCUCUUAAUCAAUUAUUUUCUGCAGUAAAUUUAUUUAGUUAGCAUUUAAUCCAAAACCCCCCAUACUUUGAACUCUAGAAGAAACGAAUUAUCCCCAAUCCCUGUGGAUUCGACUCUACUCACCGCUAUAUACAAAAUCUGUAUUUUUCUUGAGUAUGUAAUUAUUAUUGCACAGGUUCGGCACCUGUCAAUUUUUGGCGCCGUUGCCGGGGACUGGUGCCAGAUUAAUUUGUUUCUUUUUGAGUUCAUCUUGUUUUUUUUUAUUUAUUUAUUUUUCUCUUAUUUUUUUUAUUAUAUAGUUUAUGACUUCUAACACUCCGUAUUUUGGUGAUAUACUGGAUUUUGUUUCCGGGGAAGGCAAUGAGACUGAUUUUUUUUCUAAGUUUGCAUAUUUAGAGGCACUAAACUCUAUUAAAAAAAGAAUGGCUGCUGCAACCUGUGAAAUUUGUUAUGCCAGGGAUCAUUCAACCGGUAUGUGCCCCGAAUAUCAAGAUAAUCUGAGUGUUCCAUUCAAUAAUUAUGGAGAUUUUUCACCCUGGUCUCAAACGUGGUAUAACCCUAAUCCAAACGGGUAUGAUCAAGGAUGGUGGGAUAACUCCAGUUAUGAUUAUACAACAGGGCCAAUGAAUUUUCAGCAGUAUGAGUUUCAAGAAUCAUCAUCUAUGUCAGGUAUGUCUCUUGAAGAGAUAGUUGAAUUAAUAGCUACCAACACAUAUCAAAUUCAACAGGAGACACAAGUGAGCAGGCGUAACCUAGCAGAUCAAAUGGAUCAAUUGACAUUUAGGAUAACGUCAUUGGCUUCUUGAAUGAGUGAAGAAUUGCCCUCACAAACUAUUAUCGACCAUGAGGAAUAUGAGAGUGCAAUUAUCCUGACGAAUGACAUGGUACUGCAAGAGUCUCAAGAAGAAGAAUCUAAAGAUGCAGUUGAAAAGAAAGUUGAAGCACAAGAAUUGAGACCCCAACAUCAAAUAGUUCAAGUGAAUGAAUCCAGUGAACAAUCUCCAAAUGCGGUGACAUCUCCUCCAUUCCUUGAUCAAUAUUUUCCUGACUCUUAUUCUUUAAUUCCCGUUAGUGAGAUUGAUUUAAUUAUACCAGAAAAUUUUGAGUUUCAUGACAGGAACAAGUUAAGAGUCACGAUGGCAAAAUAUCUCAAACCAAUAAGUGCUUGUGAUGGAGGAGUGAAUGAAAACUUAAGGUUAUUACUUGGUUGUUUGGAGCCAUCUACUAGUCCAUGGAAGACCGUAGCUCGUGUGCUCAAGAAUUACUCUAUUUACGAGGGCUAUCAGGAUUACAUAGAAGAUGAAGCACUGAAACGAGCUGCACGAUUUUUUCCUCCAUGAAUAAACAUGAAAAUGUCUAGCCAAAGACAUUAAAGAAAGACGCUACUUGGGAGGCAACCCAAGACUAUUUGUUUCAGUUUUCAUGCAUUUUUUAAGUUUUAGUUAAAUGUUAGUAUCAAUUAAUAGUUUGAUGUUUGGUGGCAGGAAAUUAGUAGUUAGACGUGCCCACGCCAGGUGGUCACGCCUGAGGGAAAGAAAUUUUCGUUCAGGAUCUGCGGACUCUGUAGUAGUUAAACGUGUCCACGCCAGGUGGUCACGCCUGAGGGAAAGAAAUUUUCGUUCAGGAUCUGCGGACUCUAUAGCAGUUAGACGUGCCCACGACAGGUGGUCACGCCUGAGGGAAAGAAAUUCUCGUUCAGGAUCUGCGGACUCUAUAGCAGUUGAGUGUGCCCACGCCUAAGACAGGAGUCCCUUCCAAAGAAAAAAAAAAGAAAAAAAGAAAAAAAAUUUAAAAAUUUUAUUAUUACAAAAAAAAAAAUUCAGCAAUUUCCAAUUGGGACGAUUUACAUUAGCGUAAGUUUUUACAAAAAAAAAAAAACAAAAAACAAUUCCCCUUUUCUCUUUUCUUUUUCUUCUUUUUCUUUUUCUUUCUUUCUUUCUUUGUUUUUUUCUUUCUUUCUUUUUCUUUUCUUUCUUUCCUUUCUUUCCCUUUCUUCCUCUUCUUCCCCGCUUCCUUCUUCUUCUUCUUUUCUUUUCUUCUUCGACCGAGACCAGCGCACCGCCAGCUCGCCUGAUAGAGCAGUUAUUUGGCACAUUUUGCAGUGUUAUUUUGGUCUAAUUUCGACUACUUACUGUGCUAAGUACUGAGGUUUAACUCAUAUCUCACAUUCGUAUGAAUUAUAGGUGAUCGGCAUUAAAAAUGAUCUCGCGGGGUAGAUUUCCAGAAGACUUCUCGUCCCAAGGCGUGACCACGCCUUGGAAGGUGGACGAAACCGAAAGACGGACCGUGGUUCAUGUGGACCAGGCGCAUGGGAUCAAAACUCAAAAAAGGGAAAUGGCCUUUUGCAGAAUCAAUUGCAGGAGACGUUGCUUUCUUGGACUCUUCUUGGACUUAUUGUGGGCGGCGGCUAUAAAGAGGGAUUCAGAAGAAAAAAAGGGGGACCUAGCUAUUAUACUCUUUCGGCUACUUUUUGUACGACGGCUCCCUUUUCCUUUGUUUCUUCUUGGGCAGCAAAUUAGAUAGCUAGAUUUACAUCGGAUAAAAAGACAGUAGCUUUAGUUUUCUUUUUCCCAGGCGCUAGACGUCGCUGGUCUCUUCUGAUUUUCAACUUUUCCGCUGGAUAAUUCAUUCGUAGCUUUUGGCUUUGUAAUUGGGAUUCCGACGAAAGGGACGAAGGCAGGGCCUUUUCGGUUGUUAUUGCAGUUAAUUUCCCUUUCCCAAUUCCUUGGCAAAUAAUUGAAUGAAGUCAAUUAAAUCACGCGGGAUUGAAACGAUGAGGAGCGGCUAAUUUCCUCCUCUACCCAAAGGGUGACGCGAGGGCGCGGUCCAUAAAACCUGUGAGAUCUAAUCAAGCUUUCAUUAUUUCUUCCAAUUCGUCAUUAUUUGUGCGUUUCCUGAAUUAAUUGUUCAUGGGUAUUUUAUUAAUUGAAUAUCAACGGCCGGGUAUUUGAUUUAAUUUAAUAGCCUACUGCCACGUUAAUUAAAUAGAAUCCGUAAUUGUUCAUUUAAUUGACACCUCGUGGCAACCACCAUAAUUGGUUUUAUGUUGGGGAAACGCAAGAUCUAAUUUAAAUAAACCCUCUUAGCGUGUUUAUUGGUUAGGGUUGGGUUCUUCUAGCUUUAAUGCAAUUGGGUAAUUAAAUUCCUAUGAUCGUACCUAGGGUUGUUAUCUGGUUAGGGAAGCAGUCAAUGGUCGUACCUUGACUGUCGAAUAGGUAAGGAAGAACUGGUUGUCAGAGCUUAUUGAUAACUAUAACCAGUCUAGUGAUGAAUGGGUGAAAUAUCUUUGCAUCGAUGAUCAUUUAAUUGGACAGUGCCUGAGCAGUUGAUCCUUUGGGUGGAAUCGUAUUAAUUGCUAUUUUUUUUUAGUGACUUGUGCUUUGUGAGUUGGUUUUGAAUUUAGUUCGCUUUGUUUUUAUUUUACUUUUAUUUUAUUUAUUCCUCUCCCAUUGAAAAUCCCCCAAUUUUGCUCUGCUGAUUUGGAAAGAAAUAAUUUCCUACCUGCUCCCUGCGGAAUCGACCCUACUUGCCAUUGUACGCAAAAUUAGUAUUCUUAUAGACGAAUCCGGUAUAUCGGAUCAAGCAAACUCUUCGGGAACAUGGUGAAUCAAGUAACCCAUUGCACACCUAGGGUCCCUGCUCCAGUACUUGGAUUCGUUUUAUAAUUAUUUAAUUGAGGUGGUAAUUAGGACUUUUUAGUAAUUAUUAUUGCACAGGUUCGGCACCUGUCAAUUUUUCGCGCCGUUGCCGGGGAGUUGGCAUUUGGAUUAUUUGUUUCUUUUCAAAUUCAAUUUUUAUUUUUAUUUUUAUUUUAUUCUGUUCUUCUUGGUAUUUUUGCUAGUUUAUGCCCCGUUCUUCUCGCACAGGUGAAUUAGUAUACGACGCGGAAGUUGAGAAGGCAGCGCGUAAGCGGAGGCAAGAGACCAAGAGACGAAAACAAGGGCACUUAUUUGCUGCAAACGAGUCAGCGGAAGACGAAGUAAGCAUGGCCAACAACCAAACCUUGAGGGAGCUGGCUGCCCCGGAGCUAACUCACCAGCCCUUAUGCAUCAAAUUCCCCACUUUGGCUGAGAACACUGCUUUCGAACUGAAGUCGGGAUUGAUUCACCUCCUACCUUCUUUCCAUGGCCUCUCUGGUGAAGAACCCCACAAGCACGUCAAGGAAUUCGAGGUAGUUUGCUCUAGCAUGAAACCUCCCGGGGUCACAGAGGAGCAGAUAAGACUUAGAGCCUUCCCGUUUUCUCUCAAAGAUGCAGCUAAAGAUUGGCUGUACUACCUACCAGCAGGUAGUAUUACCACAUGGGCGCAGCUGAAAAAGAAAUUCUUAGAAAAAUUCUUCCCUGCAUCCCGGGCUGCGAGUUUGAGGAAGGAGAUCUGCGGCAUUAAACAAUAUCCCGGUGAGUCCUUGUAUGAAUACUGGGACAGGUUUAACAAGUUGUACACUAGAUGUCCGCAGCAUCAAAUUAGUGAACAAUUGUUAAUCCAAUACUUCUACGAAGGGCUCCAACCAACCGAUAGAAGUAUCAUUGACGCUGCAAGUGGGGGAGCACUGGCAAACAAGACACCGAGGGAAGCGUGGGAGCUCAUCGAAGCCAUGGCAGAGAACUCCCAGCAAUUUGGUUUCCGUGAGAGCAACCCUCCCCGUAAAGUCAACGAGGUAGAGAUUUCAUCCCUACAGCAGCAAAUGUCAGAAUUGACGUCUGUUGUUAGGCAAUUAGCCAUGAGAGAAACACCGCGAGCAAAGGUGUGUGGAAUCUGCACUAGCAUGGACCAUUGCACAGACUCGUGCCCCAUUUUGCAAGAGGACGGGGCAGAGCAGGUGAACAUGGCUGGAGGCGUGCCCGCGCCUCGUAGGCAGUAUGAUCCAUACUCCAACACGUACAAUCCGGGUUGGAGAGAUCAUCCAAAUUUCAGCUAUGGGAACAGGCAACAAAAUUCAUUUCCGAAUCGUCCACCAGGAUUUCAGCAACCAUGGCAACCGAAAUCACAACCAUCAUCCUCCAACACAGGGAGUUCCUUGGAGGAUAUUGUAAAGAGUCUGGCUACGACUACUGCCCAGAUCCAGCAAGAGACUAGACAGUUCCAGCAGGAGACCAGGUCAUUGACCACAAAUAUGGCUCAACUCCAGCAAGAAACUAGAGCUUUAACCAUGAGCACCAAUCAGUUCCAGCAGGACACAAAAUCAGGCAUGAAGGAUAUGGAGGCUCGAAUAAGCCAGAUGGCAACUGCUAUAAAUCGCUUGGAGUCCCACGCUUAUGGAAAGUUACCUUCACAAUCCGAAGUAAACCCCAGGAAUGUGAGUGCCAUGACCCUGAGGAGUGGCAAGACACUGGAAGGGCCGAAAGAGGGAAAUUCAAAAAGCAAGAGUGAGGAGGAGAUAGAGAAGGAAAUUGAAGAGGAAGGGCGUAUUCGCAAGGAUCCUGAGGUAACCUUCACUUCUCCGCCCACUAUUAAAUCUAACUUACCUCCUUUUCCUUGUAGGCUGGAGAAGACAAAAAAGGUAGAGAAGGAAAAAGAGCUUUUGGAGGUGUUCCGAAAAGUGGAGAUUAACAUCCCUUUACUGGAUGCAAUCAAGCAGAUACCGAAAUAUGCUAAAUUUCUCAAAGAUCUGUGCACCCAUAAGAGGAAACUGAUAGGGGACGAGAGAGUAGCGGUGGGAGAGAAUGUGUCAGCAAUGCUCCAAAGAAAACUCCCACCCAAGUGUGGAGAUCCAGGUAUGUUCACGAUCCCCUGUAAGAUAGGGAAUACACCGAUUAGGAAAGCAAUGUUAGAUUUAGGGGCGUCAAUCAAUGUGAUGCCAAAGACUAUUUUUGCUUCUCUAAAUCUUGGGCCACUUAAAGAAACGGCCAUCAUAAUCCAACUAGCUGACCGCACAAAUGCAUAUCCAGAGGGGCUAGUUGAGGAUGUUUUGGUUCAGGUAAAUGAAUUGGUUUUUCCUGCAGAUUUUUAUAUCUUGGACAUGGGAGAUGAGAAAUCAUUAAGCCCAUCACCUAUCUUGUUAGGUAGACCAUUUCUUAGCACUGCCAGGACUAAGAUAGAUGUGAAUGAGGGUACUUUGUCAAUGGAAUUUGAUGGUGAAACUGUGAAUUUCAAUAUUUUUGAGCCGAUGAAGUACCCAAAAGAAUCUAACUCGGUCUUUGCUUUGAGUGUUAUUGAGCCUUUUGUGCAGGAAAUUUUCGAAUUAGAUGGCGAAGACGCUUUGGAAGUGGCUCUAGCCAAGCAUCUGGAGUUGGGUGUAACUCCUGAUGUGGACCUAAGGGAAGAUUUGCUCCAUGCUGUGGAAGCCUUACACUCGCUUCCACCCGUAUCCCCAAGGUAUGAGCUUACUUCUCUUUUCGUGCCAGAGGCUCAAACGAAACUGCUUCCUUCAGUUGUGCAGGCACCAGAUUUAGAAUUAAAGCCUCUGCCAAAGCAUCUUAAGUACGCAUUCCUAGGAGACCGGGAGACACUGCCGGUAAUCAUCUCUGCGCACCUGUCUCCAAGUCAAGAAGACAAACUAGUGCGGGUCCUGAGGGAGCAUAAGGAGGCAAUUGGGUGGAGUAUAGCAGAUAUCAAAGGAAUAAGUCCAUCCUUAUGUAUGCACCGAAUUCGGCUCGAGGAAGAUGCGAAGCCAGUAAGACAGGCUCAAAGGAGGUUGAACCCCCUGAUGAUGGAAGUUGUGAAAAAGGAGAUACUCAAGCUUCUAGAGGUGGGGAUCAUUUUUGCUAUCUCGGAUAGCCCAUGGGUGAGUCCUGUCCAGGUAGUCCCGAAAAAGGCGGGAGUGACCGUGGAGGAGAACCAGGAGGGUGAUAUGGUCCCGGUCAGGAAAGCUACUGGCUGGCGUCAGUGCAUCGACUACAGGAAGCUAAACGCCGUGACUAAAAAGGACCAUUUCCCCAUCCCCUUUAUUGAUCAGAUGGUAGAACGAUUGGCAGGUCGUGUUUACUAUUGUUUCUUGGAUGGCUUCUCAGGUUACUUCUAGAUCGCGAUCGCACCAGAAGAUCAGGAGAAGACUACCUUCACAUGCCCAUUUGGCACGUUCGCCUACCGCCGGAUGCCUUUCGGACUCUGCAACACUCCAGCGACCUUUCAAAGGUGCAUGGUAAGUAUUUUCUCCGAGUAUGUAGAGAAAAUAAUUGAGGUAUUCAUGGAUGAUUUCAGUGUGUAUGGGGACAGUUUUGAUGAAUGCUUGGAAAAUCUGGCUUUAAUUCUGAAAAGGUGCAUAGAGACGAAUUUGGUACUUAAUUGGGAAAAGUGUCACUUUAUGGUAGAUCAUGGCAUUGUCUUAGGACACGUUGUGUCGGCUAAGGGCAUAGAGGUAGAUAAAGCAAAAAUUGACCUUAUUUCUGCUCUACCUUACCCCGUAUGUGUCCGGGAAGUGCGUUCGUUUUUGGGCCAUGCAGGUUUUUACAGGAGAUUUAUCAAAGACUUUUCGAAGAUCGGAGCACCCCUGUUCAAACUGCUGCAGAAAGACGUGCCGUUUGAUUUCACAAGUGAAUGUAAGGUGGCGUUUGAUAAAUUGAAGGAGUCACUGACAUCGCCGCCUGUCAUUCAACCCCCAGAUUGGAGCCUUCCGUUUGAAAUUAUGUGCGACGCAAGUGACUAUGCCGUGGGGGCCGUGUUGGGACAAAGAAUGGGAAGAGCGCCACACGCGAUCUACUACGCAUCGAGAGCCUUAAGUGGAGCCCAACUUAAUUACUCCACGACGGAGAAGGAAUUACUAGCUGUUGUUUUUGCACUAGAGAAAUUUAGGUCAUAUUUAUUGGGUGCAAAAGUAAUUGUUUUCUCUGACCAUGCAGCCUUGAGGUACCUGUUGGCGAAAAAGGAUGCCAAACCGCGGCUCAUUAGAUGGAUCCUGCUCCUGCAGGAGUUCGACUUAGAGAUUAAGGAUAAGAGUGGAGCCGAGAAUUUGGUGGCUGACCAUUUGAGCCGGUUGCUCACGAAUCAAGAAGAUCUACCUUUGAGGGAGUCAUUCCCUGAGGAGCAACCUCUGGCCAUUGAUUCGUCGGCACCAUGGUAUGCCGAUAUUGUAAAUUUCUUGGUAGCGAAUCAAUUACCUACAGGUUGGGCAAAAGCUAGAAGGGAUAAGCUAAAGAGUGAUGCCAAACAUUACCUUUGGGAUGACCCAUACCUAUGGAGGCAAUGUUCAGACCAGGUGAUAAGAAGGUGUGUAAGUGCAGGUGAGUUUCACUCUAUUUUGGCUUUCUGUCAUUCGUUUGCAUGUGGUGGGCAUUUUGGUCCAAAGCGGACGGCUCGUAAAGUGUUAGAAAGUGGUUUUUAUUGGCCUACUCUGUUUAAGGAUGCAUAUCUGUUUUGCAAAUCUUGUGAUAAGUGUCAAAGGGUGGGGAAUAUUUCUCGAAGAGACCAAAUGAGUCAAACCCCCAUAUUAUUUGUUGAGAUUUUUGAUGUCUGGGGUAUAGAUUUCAUGGGCCCCUUCCCCUCGUCCUUUGGUUUCUUGUACAUUAUACUUGCUGUUGACUAUGUUUCCAAAUGGGUGGAGGCAAAAGCCACCCGGACUAAUGAUUCUAGAGUGGUUGCAGAUUUUAUAAGAUCUAACAUUUUCGUCCGUUUUGGAAUGCCAAGAGCUAUAGUGAGUGACAGGGGCACCCAUUUCUGUAAUAAGACGAUCACUGCUUUGUUUCGUAAGUAUGGUGUGCUCCACAAAGUUUCCACUCCCUACCAUCCCCAAACGAAUGGUCAAGCCGAAGUAUCAAACAGGGAAGUUAAGUCGAUCCUGGAGAAGAUGGUGAGGCCUGAUCGAAAGGAUUGGAGUGUGAAAUUGGAAGAUGCUCUCUGGGCCUACCGCACUGCGUAUAAGACGCCGAUUGGGAUGUCCCCAUACAGGUUAGUUUUUGGUAAGCCUUGCCACCUCCCGGUGGAAUAUGAACACAAAGCAUUCUGGGCACUUAAGCGGUGUAAUAUGGAUCUCAUGGAGGCUGGAGGACACAGAAAGCUCCAAUUACAAGAGUUGGAAGAGCUAAGGAAUGAAGCCUAUGAGAAUUCCGCAAUUUAUAAGGAGAAAAGCAAAGUUUUCCAUGAUCAACAAGUUUCGAGAAAGUCGUUUGUCGUAGGGCAAAAAGUCUUACUUUAUCAUUCAAGACUUAAGCUUUUUCCUGGUAAGUUGCGCUCCCGUUGGAUUGGUCCAUUUAUUGUUACUAAUAUUUCUCAUUAUGGUGCAGUGGAAAUACAAAGUCUUAAGACGGAGAAGAGAUUCGUAGUCAAUGGUCACCGUCUAAAACCUUAUUACGAAGGGUUUAAUAAUGAGCAAAUGGAGGUUUUAUUCCUUGAUGAUCCAAGAGGAGAGAUUUAAACAAUUGAAGGCCAUGUCUAGCCAAAGACGUUAAAGAAAGGCGCUGAUUGGGAGGCAACCCAAGGACUACAAUAUUAGUUGUGAUCAUUCUUACUUACUCUGCGAUUUUUCAGUUUUAUCUUAAUGUUUUGACUGUUUUUGUGGUGUUGGAUAGAGGAGUAGAGGUUUCAAGGCGUGCCCACGCCUUGAUGGAAAUUCGUUUGGAAAUCAUUUAGACGCUCUGGUCAGAGGACCAUGUCCUCCAAGGCGUGCCCACGCCUUCCAACCACUUCGAUAGCGAAAGUCAAAAAAAAAAGGGGGGGGCUUUGACCAGGACCCUAUUCUUCCUUACCUUUUCUGGUCUUGUCCCUGUCCGUGACUUGGGCAAUCAAUUUUCCAAUUUCUCUGAAAUCCUGAUUUACCUUUCUUCUUGCUGGUAAAGCCCACCGCCGCCUCUUGCCAUCGCCCAGCGCCCAUCGCCGUCCGCCGUCCGCCGCAGCCAACACCCAGAUCGGGCAGCCGCGCGCCUCCAAGACCCAGCCCCCAACUGCCCCAGAGCGCGGCCUGCACAGCCGCGCCCAGCAUUGAGGUGCCACCAGCGCGCGCCAUCCAGCAGCGCGCGCAGAUCCUCACGACCGAGCGCACCCACAGCACCAGCAGCAGACAGCGCGCGCCUGCCUCAGCGCGCCAGCGCUGCCACCUGCGCGCGCGCCUACCCAUCAGCGCGCCUGCGCUGCCCACCUGCGCGCAGUUUUUUUUUUUUCCCUCUGCCCUCUCGCACGCUAGCUCGCACGACCUGCUCUGCCUACGAGAUCCUGCCUGCGCCUUUGCCGCGAGCGGCCCUCCUCGCAGCCGCGCGCCUCAGAUCCAGCGUCCGCGCGCGCGCGCGCCUGCGCACGGCGCAGCUUUGCCACCUGCGCAACUUCAGCUCGCACGCCUGCCUCUGCGCGCACGCCCAGCCUCAGUUUUCCUUCCCCGCCAAUUUCUUCUUCAGCGAAGACAAAGGGAAUAAAAAGUGGUACCCCUACUUUUCUUGUUAAGCUGGUGGCUUCGAUUGGGAGUUUUAAUUGCCAAUUUUUGCCUCCUUUUGGGUUGCUUUAUUUGUUGGUAUUGUCAGGGGACCAGUGGGUUGAUUAUCUGAAGAGAAACACCUUAUAUCUGCUUCCCUGUGAAUAUAUACUUGAGAUAUCUGUGGGCUUUAGUGAAUUUGUUAUUUGGAACACGUGGUUGGUAGCCCUCUGAGUGCUGUUUUUUAUUGACUAAUAUCUUGAUUUGAGGGGAGUUGGCUCGGUCUUCUUAAUUGUUGUCGGCUAAUUGCCAACAGUGGGGAAUUGAUUGGUGUUUGUGGUCUGGUUGUCGGUUGGUGGGGUAAUUGUGUCCCUUUUGUGGCUAAGCUGCUGGAAUAUUCGAUAAUUUCUGUUGACUGUGGUCCCAUAUCUGCUUUUGGUGGUUGGUUGGCUGUCUUUGAGCUCAUUCAUUAUUCCUGUGGUCCCUAAAUGCCCCCUAAGAAGGCAACUACUGCUGGGCCGUCAGGGUCCCAGCCUCGGAAGAGACGAGCGCCGGUACAACCCACCAUUCGGUCCCGUUUGGGCCUGAAUAAGAGCACCAUGUCUCCUGGAGAGUGGGGGGAACCGAUAACUAAUCUUACAAGGGCCCAACAGGACCGGUUUAACAUUUUGGUGAAUCGACCUGUUGCCCCUUGUAAGUGCUUCCAUGCCCCAACCCUGGACCACCUGCGAAUUGCUCGGGAGGUUGAGCAAUUGUUCUCAGCGAUAGGUUGGGAACAGUAUUUGAGCAUUAACUGCCCCACGUUUGAGGAGCUUUGUUGUGAAUUUUACUGCUCUUUUCAGUUUAUCAGGAAUGAAUACAUCACUUUGGAUGAGCCGGAGAUUAUUCGGUUUAGAUUAAAAGGCAAAGAUUAUGAUUUCUCAAUAAAUGAGUUUAAUCUGACUUUGGGGUUUGUCAGUGAGGACACCAUUGCCUCCGGAGAUUAUAUUAAUAGUGCUAUUGACUACACCAGACCGUUCAGAACUGAAUAUAUUGACAUCUGGAGGGAGUGGUCUACGGAUCGGCUAGUUUAUAAUCCGAGUCAGUCCAAGGCCUCUGAACUGAAGGAUCCGGUCUUAAAGGUCAUCCACAGGUUCUUGGCUUACAAUUUCUCGGGACGAAAGGAUUCCUCCGGCACCCUUACCAAAGCAGAAUUCUACUUCCUUUGGUGCAUGCGCAACAAUGUUAAGGUUAACUUUGGGUGUUGGAUAGCCACUCAAAUGGAGUCAGUCAUUCAUAAGCAAAAUAAACCGAUUAUCCUAGGCUCGCUCAUUACCCACUUGGCCAUCCGAUUGGGAGUGCUAGACCUUGACAAGGAGCACAACUUCGCCUUAGCUCGAGAGAUUGAGCCACUGGAUUUGCGCAGUUUAGAGCAAAUGGGUGUCAUUCGAAAGGUGGGCGAUGUCUACCAAUUUACGCUCCCUGGUGAAGACGGCCCACAGCCUCGGAUGCCCGCCACUGCACCCUCCACUGACUUGCCACCGCAUCCGGAUCAGGCGGGACCGUCCUCCUCGCGCCCUCCCCCUGCUAGAGACCCCCGCUACCCGGACCUCCAGGAGGGUGUUCAUGAGCUCAACACCCAGCUUUCACAGAUAGAUGGCCGUCUUAUGGCGCUCCAGGUCUUCGCCCGCAUUCAGGCAGAAAAUCAGGCGGCCUUCUACGCUCACAUUGGAUUCACGCCGCCUCAUCCCCCUCCACCUUAGUGACUCGUUUUCACUCCCCGGUGAUCAGGGAAGUUCCUCUCAGUUCUCCUAAUACUUCAUUUAUUUUUCCUACAUUGGGGACAAUGUCGGUCUUAGGUGUGGGGGGAUUGGCUUUCACUAGUCCUUUUAGCUUUGUCUCAUCAGUUCUGUGCUUUUUGCUUCGUUGAAAAAAAAAAAAUUUUUUUUUGAAAGUGGUUAAUUAUGUCUAUGCUUGUCAAUGUUGGAGUGUGUGCUGUGAUGAAUGACACAAUCAACGUAAGUGGUUAUGUGGUUAAGUAUGCUAGCUAUGCAUUUUGUUUCCCUUGGCAAUGUUGUUGAAUGAUGAAUAUGCUGGAAUUGACCCAUUCUUGUAACCUUUGGGGAGCUUUUGAGCCUUGCUUGAGCAUAUUAUUCUUGUUUGCUCCAUUUUGUUUGAUUGAGUGGGUAUCACUCAUGGUAUUGGCAUUCUAGAACUUGCUGGUUUAUGCAUGUCGAGGCCACAUUUUUUGUGAAUUGGAGGCAUUUGAAAUGAUAAGGGCAUUUAAGGUUUAACCCUCUUUAGCUAUCUAAAAGAAUCAAGCCAUUACCUUAUCUCCCAAUAGUAAACCAAUUUGAGCUUUUGUCCUUCGUUUCUGGUUGUUACCCGUAUUUGUUAACCCAAGACCUCUUUAAACUUUCCUGUUUACCCCUGUGUUGUCAAGGGAUGCCUGAAUUCCAUCAUUUGUGCGAAAACAAACAAAUUUGGGGGUUGCAAGUGGUUUUAGAUUAGGUGCCAUAUGAUGUUAGCCUUGUAUAAAGAAUGAGAGAUUGGAAGAGGGCCACUGACCAGUGGACUUUGACUUACAGGGCGUGCCCACGCCUUGCGGAACUUUAAAAAAAAAAAAAAAAAAAACUGAAGAAGCCCUCGUGACCAGUGGACUAAGGGUUACAAGGCGUGCCCACGCCUUGCGAGCAGUUCCAAAAAAAAAAAAAAAUUUGGGCACUUGUACAGUGGGUACAGCAAAUGGGAACUGCCUAGCUAGUGAACUUCCUCCAGUAAAGCACUAUGGUUAUUAGUAAGUUUCGGGCAUUCUCUUGACACUUUACCCCCUAUCUAUACUUUCUCAACCCGCUUUUCACCGGAGCCCCAUUACAACCCUAUUAAAGCUCCUUUGAUUUAUGUGUUUAGUUCACUUUUAAGUGGUGGAGAUGUGAUAAAUGUGCAAGCCUAUGGUAAUGACAUUCCGUGAUGUUGAUUUGAGCGUUCCUAGUAUUCUUAUAUAUUCUUCGAUUCAAAUUACAACCUGUCCAGUGUGUUCUACCUUUGGUGAUAUUGUCAGGGACCCUAGAUGCUUGUAUUAGUAUAGACUACUGCAUGACCUCUGCUCUCUUGGUUGUACUUCUGAGCUUCGAAAUGCUUGAGGGCAAGCAUUGUCUAGGUGUGGGGGGAUUUGAUAGAGCAGUUAUUUGGCACAUUUUGCAGUGUUAUUUUGGUCUAAUUUCGACUACUUACUGUGCUAAGUACUGAGGUUUAACUCAUAUCUCACAUUCGUAUGAAUUAUAGGUGAUCGGCAUUAAAAAUGAUCUCGCGGGGUAGAUUUCCAGAAGACUUGUCGUCCCAAGGCGUGACCACGCCUUGGAAGGUGGACGAAACCGAAAGACGGACCGCGGUCCAUGUGGACCAGGCGCAUGGGAUCAAAACUCAAAAAAGGGAAAUGGCCUUUUGCAGAAUCAAUUGCAGGAGACGUUGCUUUCUUGGACUCUUCUUGGACUUAUUGUGGGCGGCGGCUAUAAAGAGGGAUUCAGAAGAAAAAAAGGGGGACCUAGCUAUUAUACUCUUUCGGCUACUUUUUGUACGACGGCUCCCUUUUCCUUUGUUUCUUCUUGGGCAGCAAAUUAGAUAGCUAGAUUUACAUCGGAUAAAAAGACAGUAGCUUUAGUUUUCUUUUUCCCAGGCGCUAGACGUCGCUGGUCUCUUCUGAUUUUCAACUUUUCCGCUGGAUAAUUCAUUCGUAGCUUUUGGCUUUGUAAUUGGGAUUCCGACGAAAGGGACGAAGGCAGGGCCUUUUCGGUUGUUAUUGCAGUUAAUUUCCCUUUCCCAAUUCCUUGGCAAAUAAUUGAAUGAAGUCAAUUAAAUCACGCGGGAUUGAAACGAUGAGGAGCGGCUAAUUUCCUCCUCUACCCAAAGGGUGACGCGAGGGCGCGGUCCAUAAAACCUGUGAGAUCUAAUCAAGCUUUCAUUAUUUCUUCCAAUUCGUCAUUAUUUGUGCGUUUCCUGAAUUAAUUGUUCAUGGGUAUUUUAUUAAUUGAAUAUCAACGGCCGGGUAUUUGAUUUAAUUUAAUAGCCUACUGCCACGUUAAUUAAAUAGAAUCCGUAAUUGUUCAUUUAAUUGACACCUCGUGGCAACCACCAUAAUUGGUUUUAUGUUGGGGAAACGCAAGAUCUAAUUUAAAUAAACCCUCUUAGCGUGUUUAUUGGUUAGGGUUGGGUUCUUCUAGCUUUAAUGCAAUUGGGUAAUUAAAUUCCUAUGGUCGUACCUAGGGUUGUUAUCUGGUUAGGGAAGCAGUCAAUGGUCGUACCUUGACUGUCGAAUAGGUAAGGAAGAGUUGGUUGUCAGAGCUUAUUGAUAACUAUAACCAGUCUAGUGAUGAAUGGGUGAAAUAUCUUUGCAUCGAUGAUCAUUUAAUUGGACCGUGCCUGAGCAGUUGAUCCUUUGGGUGGAAUCGUAUUAAUUGCUAUUUUUUUUAGUGACUUGUGCUUUGUGAGUUGGUUUUGAAUUUAGUUCGCUUUGUUUUUAUUUUACUUUUAUUUUAUUUAUUCCUCUCCCAUUGAAAAUCCCCCAAUUUUGCUCUGCUAAUUUGGAAAGAAAUAAUUUCCUACCUGCUCCCUGCGGAAUCGACCCUACUUGCCAUUGUACGCAAAAUUAGUAUUCUUAUAGACGAAUCCGGUAUAUCGGAUCAAGCAAACUCUUCGGGAACAGGGUGAAUCAAGUAACCCAUUGCACACCUAGGGUCCCUGCUCCAGUACUUGGAUUCGUUUUAUAAUUAUUUAAUUGAGGUGAUAAUUAGGACUUUUUAGUAAUUAUUAUUGCACAGGUUCGGCACCUGUCAAUUUUUGGCGCCGUUGCCAGGGAGUUGGCAUUUGGAUUAUUUGUUUCUUUUCAAAUUCAAUUUUUAUUUUUAUUUUUAUUUUAUUCUGUUCUUCUUGGUAUUUUUGCUAGUUUAUGCCCCGUUCUUCUCGCACAGGUGAAUUAGUAUACGACGCGGAAGUUGAGAAGGCAGCGCGUAAGCGGAGGCAAGAGACCAAGAGACGAAAACAAGGGCACUUAUUUGCUGCAAACGAGUCAGCGGAAGACGAAGUAAGCAUGGCCAACAACCAAACCUUGAGGGAGCUGGCUGCCCCGGAGCUGACUCACCAGCCCUUAUGCAUCACAUUCCCCACUUUGGCUGAGAACACUGCUUUCGAACUGAAGUCUAGAAAUUUAAAAAUUUUAUUAUUACAAAAAAAAAAUUUAUUAGAAAAAAUUUAUUAUUACAAAAAAAAAAAAUUCAGCAAUUUCCAAUUGGGACGAUUUACAUUAGCGUAAGUUUUUACAAAAAAAAAAAAACAAAAAACAAUUCCCCUUUUCUCUUUUCUUUUUCUUCUUUUUCUUUUUCUUUCUUUCUUUCUUUGUUUUUUUCUUUCUUUCUUUUUCUUUUCUUUCUUUCCUUUCUUUCCCUUUCUUCCUCUUCUUCCCCGCUUCCUUCUUCUUCUUCUUUUCUUUUCUUCUUCGACCGAGACCAGCGCACCGCCAGCUCGCCUCCACUCCAGCAGCUCCAUCGCCAUCUCCAGCCCGCGGCAGCUGCUGACUAGCCGCCAUCCACCAGCGGCUACCCACUCGAGCCCCACCUCACGGACCACCUUCAGCAGCUCCAAAGACCGCCGCUGCUCCCCUGCCCACGGCCGUCCACCCACAGCUCGCUGAGCUCCUCCGUUCCAAGCUCCACCCGCCACCUCCACUCACCAGCGCCUUUGACUGCCACCGCAACUCCUCCUCUCGCCGCGCCCAGCUAACCCCAGUCGCGCCCGACAGUCAAACGCCGCCCUUUCUCCGCGCCGCCGCUCUCUCAGACGCUGCGCCUCCCUCCAGUUCGCUCCCACUUCUGCAGUAGCCUCAGGUCCACCGCUGCCUCCGAGCUCCAAGCGCCACCACACGGACCACCACCAGCUCUCCUUCGCACGCUGAUCGCGCAGCUGCUCCACCUCGCGCGACCCGCUGCUACUGUCUGCCACCCAUAGCCACGCCCUUCCCACCUGUCAAAAUUGACAGGUGGAGGUAUUGAAUUUUCAACCUCGAUUAGUAUUUUUCUGGUUCUUCUAUUGUUGGAAUUUGAGUUUUUGUGUUUGGGUUUCUUGAUGGAUAAAAGAAGGUGUUGAUUUGGGCAUUUUCUAGGGUAAAUUGUGGACAGAUUUGAGUUUAAUUGCUGCCAUAUGUGGGGAUAUUUUCUGAUAUUUAUUGAAUUGUUGGCCGUUUGAUUUAAUUCCUCCUUGUGUAUACACCAGUGGUACUGGUUGCGGUGUUACUUUCCAAUUCUUAAAUUUUCUCGAAUUCUAAUCGGUAGUUGCUGGAAUUGCCUGUUUGCUGGGAUUCUUAAAAUUCUUAAGGUUUGGUCGCUUGAAGUGGGUAAUUGAAUGUCCAAUUGGUGACAUUUGUUGAGUUUCACUUGCUCCAAUUGGUUGAAUUCUUUGCUCUGUUGGGGUCCCUGUUGGUAUCACUUGAGUUCUGCUUUGUUAGUUUUUGUAUCGUGCCCCUUGAUCUUAUUUUGACUGAAUUGGAGACCCAGUGCAUAUUCAUUCAAUUUGCUGUGUUGUUAGGG